rnacentral:lncRNA from 1 species
CACACGUGGGAGUGGGCAGGGAGUUGAGCACCGUAUCGGUCGAAGUAUCACCGUACACGUACAGACCAACCUAGAUCCAGCUCAAAAAUGAACACAUAGAUUUUUUUUUCAGUUUUUACAAAAACUGUAAAUAAAACUUAGUGAACGGUAGCAAGAAUUCAGCUGAUCUUCAUGCGGGAAUCAGCUGAAAUCCCCCAGUAUAGAUCUCUAUCUCUAUUCGCUGCAAACUGCAAGUGCAGACAAAGACGGCGGUAGAUUAAUGGCAAUCCAUCCAAACGAAGCGCGCCGAGACAAACGAUUCCGAAACCGCACGAGCUGCCGCCGCAGGCUGCACAGGUGUGCUAUGCGCCGAGCUCCGGAGCCCGGAGCGGGGCAGCACCGAUUGCGGCAGCAACUGCUAGAGAUUAGUGCCGAGGCACGGGGGGCGGGAAGAGAAUCCGAAGCACCGUAAGCACCACGGACCACGGAUCGCCCACGCCACGGCAGCACCGCACCGCACGGUCCGCGCCUCGCGCUCGUUUGAAACGGGCGGCGCCAACGGAAGGGUGCGGGGGGAAGGGCGCUGCGGCCUCCCCUCUCGCACGUGAACGGGCGCUGCGUACGCCUGCGCGGGCGAUUACUGUGCGCCAGCUGCAGCACUGUGCGUCUGUGCGCGAGCAGCAGGCAGGGCCGCGGGUGGCGGCAGGACGGGGCUCAUUAUUCUCGCCGCGGCAGACGGCACGGCCGAUCGGGCGUCUGGCGUCAUGCACGCCGCGCACGUACCCCUUUACUCCUGGCGUUCAGGCGCCGAGUUAAUGAACAGUGAUGAGCGCAGUUGCUUUUCUUUAAAGAUUAACAGGAUCCAUCGUGCACCCACCACUGAAAACGUCUGCUGCUAUACUAUUUUACAUUUACAAUUUUGUGCUGGAGAAUUUCACUGGCCUGGCCAGGCCUGCUUUGAGUACCUGUGAAUUUUCAAUCUUGAUGAAAACUGUAAUUCGUAUCGUAUCCGCACAUGCUCAUCAAAAUUAUUUUUCCAGAAUUCAUCUCAUCCACCGACGUGCACCCCCUUCUUCACUUGUUGACAUCGGACCCCACGUCGUGAGCGGUGAACCUGACGUUCGUUCUCGCAACCCAUCCAGCGCAUAAUCGUGCGCAUCCGAGGGAGAAGGCAGAGACGAAAUAGCGGGUUAACGUUAACCGGGCAGACAUGGAUUGAUGCCGUUUCCGGCAGAUUGGUGAUGCUCCUUUUGACCCGCGGCGUACCAGUAAUGAUGGUACCUACGGUGGCGCGCGGCCGGAUCACUACAGUACGAAGAGAAACAGACAGAGCCCGCUCACACUUUCCUGCGAAGGAUCAAGCAUGUCUGCCCCCUCAUCUCAUCUCUCUCGGGCUGCUGGAAACUUUGUAACCGUCCACACGUCUGAGCGAGUGCUCUGGGCCGCUGACCUCUGCGCCGGCCGAUGGCCAGCGGUGCUCCCCGUCGCACGCGGCUUCCACCACGCUCUGUUUCGUCGAUAAUGCAUGCAGCUCUGAGCAGACGCAGGUUGAAAGCGUGCGUGAUGCGGGGACUACCGGAGAAGGAGCGAUUUUGAAUCCACGAUUCGCGACAAAAACCGCGAUCGGGCGCGUACGUGGUCGAUCUCUCACACGAGCACUUUCGUGACUCAUCCCGCGCCACAGCAGUGGUACCACCACAGACGCACACACGGGGGGCCGCGGCACCGCUCGGGCCGCGGCAGGCUCCGUUGGCUAGCUCUUGCAGCCGUGGCUCCGCGAGACGGCCGGCGCGAAUUGCUCUUCACACACUCCCCGCACGGGAAGCAGCAUAUUGCUAGCCUGAUCUAUCGGCCGGCCUGGAUUACGUGGUUGACCCUCUCAUGGCAGGGCGGGGGCAGGGCCGGUCCUGAGUUUUCUGAGGCUCAGGACGAAAAAAACCUGUGGCUCUUCUAAUAACAAUAUACCGGUAAACGCUCAAUGUGCAUGCCAAAAAAAAAAUCAUAUAAAGAAGUUUGUGUAUUACUUGAAAAUUUCUUGCAAUAUUCCUAGAUGUGAAGUCGUCGAUGGUCUUCUCGGUGCAUGAAGUUGGCAUACCUUUUACACGCUUUUACUAUGCUAAAAAUUAAAUUAAAAAAUAGUUGGUGACUAAAAGCUAGCUAGCACAAAGCUAGAAAGGUAUUAGAUCAACUUACAAAACAUACGGAUCUCUAUGUUGAACUUUCAAAUCUCAAUAUCAUCUAUCCCUCACCAAUGGCAUUAAUUAUCAAUGGCAUACUGCAACGAGCGUGCAAUAUUGAUAUAUUGUCAUUCACAAAUCGAACAUGAAAUAAAAGUCAAUCUAAUUACUUGAGCCGGUGAGGAUCAAGGACUGGUUCCUACCUUGCUUGCUUGCCUGUAGGCUGUGACCCUGCGCUUCUCCGCUGCAAUCGGCGACGGUGACUUGGUAAGACACCGACUUGAUCGAGGACGUAGCGUUAGAGGCACGGACGUACGCUGGACGCGCGAUCAUGAUAGUGGCAUGCGCGAAGCGCGAGUCUGCAAAUCGCGAUUGGCCGUCGGUACCGUGUGUACAUCUACUACUACCUACUGCAUACAUACCUGCCCGCGGGGCCUCUUGGUCUCGGGGGCCUAGGACGGCCGCCCCGCUCGCCCCCCCUCAGGGCCGGGCCUGGGCGGGGCCUCGUCUCACCGGCCAGAUCACGUGCAGCAGAGUCGGUCGGCGGUGGAGAACGCGACACUUCUUGAGCAGAGAUAGCUAGAGAGGCAAGGGGAAAAGGGGAUGGUGUCGAUGUCGUCGUAUAGGGAUGCCAAUAGCACCAUGGCAGCAAGCCAGCAAAAGUACGUACCAUUAGUGUUAGUACUAGUGUUAGUGUUAGAGGGGUACACCAUCCAUUAGUCCCGUAUUUCUAAUAGAUAAGGGUGUGGAAGUGUUCCUCCUUAUAAAUACGGACCACCCCUUAUGGAAAAAACGCGUUAUAGACUAUUUUACAGGAAGAUCCGGGUAUCAUUAAGUGGUCUAUAUGAGUUAAGUGUUGCCUCUUCUACACUGCUGCAUCAUCACUGUAGUCUUCUCCAUUCCGUUGCGUCGGCGUCAGCAACAAACAGGGCAGCAAGUCUCCGGAACCAGUCAUCCUUGUGAUCCUGCACCGGAAGAGGGCGAAUAAGAUUUUUAGGAAGCGCUCUGCGCGACUGCUCAAAUUCAUCGCCACGGCUCGUCCUCCGUCCAAUCUUCAUGUCGCAGAUUGUUGUCCCGUCAACACUGCUCGUCAUCACGGCUUCUCAGUACGUGCGUCGUGAUCUGAUCUGUUUUUUAAUCAUGUUUUCUGAGAUCAUAAUUAUGCUGUUCCUGUUGCCUAGUAUGUUAUAAUUUUGCAUGCUAGAAUUGUCUCUUGUCAUGAUUUAUUUAUUUCGAAAACUAAUACAACAAUUGCCUAAUAUCAACACAUGCAUGGGUUAGGCGGUCAUCAAUAGUAGUAAGGACUAGGAACUAAUUAAUGGCCGAAUCGCAGAGAGGACAGUGAUCGCCCCUGCAGCUUGUGCCGAGAACCAUUCAUGCAGGAUUGCAGGUGUGGCGCUUUUGAGGGUGAGGAUUAUGUUGUGUUAAAUCACGUUUGCUGAGUUUAUGUAACUACUCCUUUUGUUCCAAAUCGUAGAUCGUUUUAGUUUUUAAGAUGUAUAAUUUUUGCUAUGCAUCAAGAUAUGGUGUAUAUCUAGAUACAUCAUAAUAUCUAUGAAUUUACAUCAUAAUAUCUAUGAAUUUAGUUUAAACGUUCCGUUAAGGUGAUUUAACCGAACAUUCAAUAUGUCUAAUGAUUCAACAUCUAAUUCCUGCUUUGUGUGAAUUGUGAUCAAGCUUCAAGCCUGUCGAAUCCGUUCUUUUCGCACCCCUAAGCUUCUUCAAAAGACAUUGAGAUUCCUUCGCGCACACGAUCACACACGUACGUGCUGUGGUCCCACUGGUGGUGCGCAGCGUCACUGUCCUCUUGCCGCCAUGACCAUAUCAAACUCGGUAGGCACCCGAGCCCCGAGGCGCUACGAUGCCUUAUGUCUUUCAGGACUGUCACGUCGUCACGGCCAUGCUCAUAAACUCGUACUACCAGGGUAGCCACCUAUUCCAUCCGUCCGAUCUUAGGGAUGUUCGUUGAUAAGAGGUGCUAAAUUUUAGCCAGGUUAUAUUGAAUGUUCGGAUGCUAAUUAGAAGGACUAAAUAUGAGCUAAUACAAAACUAAUUGCACAUAUGGAGUCUAAUUCGCGAGACGAAUCUAUUAAGGCUAAUUAAUCCAUCAUUAGCAAAUGGUUAUUGUAGCACCACAUUGUCAAAUCAUGGACUAAUUAAGCUUAAUAGAUUCAUCUCACGAAUAGACUCUAUCUAUGCAAUUAGUUUAUAAUUAGACAAUGUUUAAUACUCCUAAUUAGUAUCAAAUAUCCGAUGUGACAGGUGCUAAAGUUUAGCAUGGUGUUCCCAAACACCCCUUUAGAAAGAACGCUAAAGAGUUAAAUAAUUUGAGGUUUGAUCGAAUUUAUAAAAAAAUACUAAUAUUCAUAUUUUUAAAUAGAUUUAGUAUAAAAAUAUAUUACAUGAUUAAUUUAUUAAUAUUUAUUUGCACUAUAAAUAUAAAUAUAGUACUAUUUUGUAUAUAAAUCUGGUUAAAGAGUUGUUUUCUUUUCAUGACUUCUCUAGGAGGGAGGGAGUACCUACCUACGAGCUCGAUGCACACAGCGCUACACUUGCCUUUAAUAGGCGUCUGUCUCAAAACUCUCUCCGGUACCCCUGUGAUGACUGAUCGCUACCCCAAACUCACACGGCGGUGGCGGCCGCGGUGCCCAUCAGUUAAGCUAGGUGCGUAGGCCAUCAGGUUGCUCUGCACAAGGCAGAAGCCGCUGCCUGCUUGGUGCAUGCAUUGCCUCGCCGCUCAGCGGGAUGAGAGAUGAAGUGACGGGCUCCUCUCCUCUGGACAAGGUUCUCCGUCGCACGGAGACAUACGGAAACCUAUGCGUGCACACGGCAACACAACAUGCAUCGAGAUGACACCGAUGAUGGAUGGGCGGAUGGACGCGUCGUCACAUCCAGUCCCUUCGCCAUCACGGACACCCGCGCGCGCCCGCCUCCGCCUCCGGCUUGCCCUAGCAUGGCGCAAAGCAUCCGUGUAGCGGGGGCACGACCGUCAUCUUCUCGACACUGCCGCCGAUUCGCCGAAGGCCCGAACCCACCGAGCGCGCACGUGAACCCAACUGCCCAUCGAUGGACGACGACGCCGAUCGACGGGCACCGGCCGGCAGCGCGCGCGGCUGGCUAGCAGAUCAUCACACGGCACGGUGCGGGCGGGGACGGGCCGAGUAGUAUUACUUCCGUGCCGCGUGCCGGGCCGCUGCAGGUGCGUGUCGGUGCGACCCCCGCGGCGCGUUCUUGUUGCGACGGGGUAGGAAGCACGUACGUCCUGGCUCGACCGACUCGUCAGCAAGGACGGCAGGACCGACCGCUAAGCGAUGACGACGGGAGCACGUCUGUGGUUCUACUUCGUUCGUCGUGUCGUGGCUUCUGCUCCGUGGCUGGCGGUCCAAUGAGCAGAGUGGGGGGAGUUACUGGCCUCGAUGGCAGAUUAACAAAAGGGAGACAUCUCUUACGCACGCGAAUACCCCAGCUACUUUGGCCCUGCAUCAUGAUCACUGCUCGGAGUGUAGCUUCCCGUGGAACCCCAAAGAUUCGGUGAACGGACGCGAAAUGUCGCAAAGAGACAGAGUGCCUGCGGAGAGAAAUCCAAAGCCUACUGUAAUGUUAGCAGCUAGUACAUGCAAAAACUAACAUUGACUAUACUGAGAGUGCACAUUGACUAAGGGGUGUUUGGGUUCCAAGGACUAAAAUUUAUUCCCUAUCACAUCGAAUAUUUAUAUACUACUAAUUAGGAGUAUUAAACAUAGACUAAGGGGAUGUUUGGAAAGGGGUGCUAAACUUUAGCACCUCACUUUUAGCACACUUUUAGCACUUGAACUCCCAAACAGGGGUGCUAAAAGGUGAGUGCUAAAGUUUAGCAUCCUUGUUUUUUUAGCACACCCAAGGGGUGCUAAAAGGUGCUAAUGGGUGCUAAAAGUAGUCUCCAAGCCCACUUUUUCCCUAGUUGCCCCCUCUCUCUCCUCUCCACUUUUCCCCAAGCCAGUCAUAAAUGAGGGCAAUAUAGUCAUUUCUCACCCAAUGUGCUAAACUUUAGCACUGUAUCCAUUUGAGGGUGCUAAAGUUUAGCAUUGUGUAUCCAAACAGGGCCUAAUUACAAAACCAAUUGCACAGAUGGAGGCUAAUUCGCGAGAUGAAUCUAUUAAGCCUAAUUAAUUCAUGAUUAGCACAUAUUUACUGUAGCAUCACAUUGUUAAAUCAUGGACUAAUUAGGCUUAAUAGAUUCGUCUCGUGAAUUAGCCUCCAUAUGUGCAAUUGAUUUUAUAAUUAGCUCAUGUUUAGUCCUCCUAAUUAGUAUCUAAACACUUGAUGUGACUAGUCCGUGAAACUAAAGCACACCUAAUAUCGCCCGCAUGUGCGUGUCCUGAUGAUAAAACUAGGACCGGUACAAUAAUAUGGUAGCCAGACCACAUGCAUGUGGAACUUUGACAAUGCGGAUCCACGCAUGUGGUUUCAUGCAGUCACAGGGCUCGAGGAGGACAUCACCGUGCACUUUGCACGCAGCAACACUGCACGAAUCAUCUAAACAAGCUCCUAGCUCCUUGCUCCUCUGUAUGAUCCCUGCACGUGUGCACUAAGGCUAAUGCUAGUACGAUCGGGCUAAGGACUAUUGGACUAAUAAUAUAUAUGGCAUCGACGUGCCCAGCACCAGAAGAGAAUCUAAUUAACACGGCUGGUAAUGCCAACUUUUCAGCAUAACUGACCAUGAUCUAGCUCCACCCUGCACAUCCGCAAGAAAGUGCAGAAUCGCCACGGGCGCCAGGCCCAGGAUUCCAGGAAGCAGCACGUACGGAAACACAGUGGCCGAUCGUCGCCCGAUUGUGCGAUCCACGGCUGUUUACACGUCACGUCGAUGAGUUAAUCGCCCAGGCGCGAACAGGGAACCUGCUGCUGACGCUCACUAAAGCUUGAACUUUUCCACGUGUUUACGCUUCUGCCCUCUAACCUCGAGACUUCAUCUUCAUUUUAAGCCGAUCGUUCAGCCUCGAGGCUUCAUCCGCGAUCCAAGAUGAAUGCCCAGCCUCGAGGCACCUGCUUUAUUGAGUCUUGUCAGGACACUACUAGGGAAAGCAGCUCUAAUACCGGUUAGAAACCCCCCUCUAAUACCGGUUGUGCAACCGGUACUAGCAAUUCAGUACUAGAGGGGGUCCCUUUACUAAAGGGUGUUAAAAAAUUAAAAAAAUUGAAAUCCCCAACCGCCCCCCGCCGGCGGCCCCUGUCGCCCCUCCGCCAGCUGCCUGGCCCCGCUGCCCUGCCGCUCUGCCUCCACCUCCACCCUGCAGUUCCGCCCCGCAACUCCACCUCCGCCCGCCGCCUCCGCCUCUGCCUCGCUGCUCCGCCCACCGUCACCGCCGCCACCUCACCUCACCCUGCCGCCGCUCCUCACCGCCAGUGAGGGGCGAGCGGAGGCAACAGGGGAGGGGAGGCACAGAUCGAGGAGCGUGGAGGGAGAGAGAUAGAUGAGGGAGAGAGAUAGAGAGGCAGACACGUGUUGGAGGAGGAGGAGACUGAGAUGAGGAGGAGGGAGGAGGAAGGGAUAAGGACUGGGAGGAGGAGGAAGGAGGAGAGAGGCAGCGCGCGGGGGGAGGGGGGAGGGAGGGGAGGGGGGCGGGGUGUACGCAUGAGAGAUUUAGUAUCAGGUGGGGUUCCCACCCAGUACUAAAGGGCCUCCGAGGAUCCCAAAUUUGGACCCGAUACUAAUGCUAACAUUAGUACCGGGCAAAAAAGUGAGCGGUACUAAGCCUCGGGAGGAGAGGUCAUUUUUGUAAUAGUGGGAGGUCCUAACCUCGCAUAGUUCUUCUUCGAGCAUCAUUCCUGAGUAAAGAGUAAAAAGAUAAAAGCUCGGUGUCCGGAACCGACUCCGAACACUCAAGGGUUAAUCCAAUGGGAGUUAGCCAUUAUUGUUGUCAAUCACUACCCUCAAGUCCUUCUAGGAGCAUAUGUGAUGCAAUGAUACAAGAUUUACUAUUAGAGGUGCCUCCAUAGAGCGUGCGAGGUUAAAGGGGUUCCGCUUUCCUUGCUGCCGACGCGCAACUUGCGAGGUUAGUCUUGAGACCUGUUAACGACGUUCGAGGGUAACUGAGUUUUACUCUCAAUUUGGAACUCGCGAGGCUAGAAAGGUUCCACGCUGUUGGCUAGGCACCCCUGGGCCCACUAGAAGACUUGUACUGACCCACUCAAGGGAACAUACCCGAAACCUACUCGGACAUGAAGACUACUCUGCAGGGCGCGUAGGCUUCAUGGACUCCCCGAAGACUAGUCUGGUCAAAAGAAAACUACUCUACCGAGUUAGAGUAGGACUCUGUAACAUACUCGACUAGGACUCAUACACAAUCCGCCCUGUAACCCUGCUCCCCUGACUAUAUAAGGGUGGGCAGGGACCCCCUCCAAACAACGAAGAACAAGAUCAAUACAAUCUACACACAUGACAUAGGGUAUUAUGCGAUCUAGCGGUCCGAACCUGUCUAAAUCAUAUUCCUUGUGUCACCAUCGACUCCUUGAUUCUCGACAACACCACCGCACAAAAUACCACCUUGGGUACUCCCUAGGCGGGUUACCGGUCUAAAACACCGACAGCUGGCACACAAGGUAGGGGAAGUCGCCGAGUUUCUCCACGCGAGAUCGAUGGCACUAGUCAUCAUCAAGCCAGCAUUCGCCUUCGAGGCAGGCACAACCUUCGUCUUCGGCUCCUAGCUUUGCAUCGCUGAUGGCGCUGGAUCCUUCAACGUUGCAUCAUCAACAAACAGGAAAAGAGGCAUCUCGACGAAAACUUUCUUCACCAAGAAGCAGAGAAUCUCAUCGAGAAUAUACAAAAUUUCAACGUCAACAACAUUGAGUUCAACUACGGCUCGGACUCGACCUCGAAGGAUUUUUUACGUUGUGCACGGUGCUCAAGGGUGUUUAGGUUUUGGCGAUCUCCAACAGUAGCCCCUCGUGGGCGAGGGUCGACUUCGACGGGCUGAACCCACGAAUUUGAGAUCGCUCACCUAAAACGUCACCCUCAAGCAUCAAAGGAGAAAUGAGCCAACGGUGACUGUUGACGCCUGAUGUGUCACUUUCUAAUUGGGUGCCGUUUCGAAUUGAGAUCGCAAUUCAAGGUGUCCUUUCGCACUCACUAACUCCCCUAUAAAAGGUAGGGGUAUGGGUUGCUCAAGGUUGUCAUCACGUCUUUGUUGAGAACUUGUUUGCUGCCAUUUUCUUGCUUUGAGAUUCGUGUUUUUCUGCUCCUUGUAUUGAUCUUUCUAGCUUCAAAGGUAUUAUUCCUAUACUUCUCUUGCAUUCUUUUCUACUUUUGCUUUUUCACUUGUUGUUUGAUUUAUUUUUGUAUGUUAUCUAGCUGGCUCGUACUAUUCAAACUGCGAGGUUAAUGACUCCUGAAGAGCCGAAAGAGCAAGUGUGGGUACGCUCCCGAGUGACAGGAGGUCCACGGGGAUUUUCAGCAUCGGGAGGAUCGCGAGGGUUCUCAACAUUAGGAGGAUCUUGAGGAUCCUCAACAUCUGGAGAUUUCUUCGAAUACUGAUAGUGGAGAGGAUUUGACCAACGUCGAGGCUCAUCCUUUGGAGCUCAUGGCCAGCAAGGACACUUAUGCACCAACGCUUCGUUUUGGCUGUUCGCUGGUUUCCCAGAACACAAAAGACUUUUAUGUUAGCAAAGGUUACUUUCCCAAGGACGUGGCGAGGCCUCCCGGCGAAGAGCUUGUGCCAAAACCCAAUCCUGGCGAGGCUGUGGUCUUCAAGGAUUUUUUCACUACCGGCCUACGUUUUCCAUGUGACAAGAUGUUGCCUCAGAUCCUGGACAGGUAUGGGGCCAAGCUUCACCAGCUUACGCCUAAUAUUUUUAGACUUUGUAAGUUUUUCUAGGUCGAGCGCACCUUUGGUGGGGUUGUUGAUGUAGAUGGCUUUGCGAGGCUCUACGAGCUUCAUAUUAAAAAAAACAGAGAGUUCAAUUUGAUGAUGAGGAAGAGGCUUUUGAGACUCAAUUUGGUUGUUGUACAUUCACGACCCGGAGGAAAAAUGAAAAUAAGAAGAUUUCUAGAGUUGAGGUCUCUAUAGCUCAGGAGAACAGAUGGGACGAUGAUUGUCUUGCUUACUGGUUUUAUGUCAAGGUUGACAUGUGUGAGGCUUCUGGUUUUGGUCAGCCAUUUACCUGUUCUGUAGUUCAAUGUCUUCUCUUAACAUUAAAUCGGUUCCGACUUUUGGGAGGACAAAAGCUUUUCGGACUUGCGAGGAUGCUUUUGUUCUUACAUGUUCAUCUGUUGUCGGACGUGACUUGUUUGAAGAAUUUCUGGCCGCGGGUAUUUGGCCCCUUUCUCAUGGGUGGAUGCCGAAGGAAAUCAUGGUGAAAACUGUAACGUGGUACCACAAGCCGGUUCCAUUCCUCUGUUUGGUUUGAGCUUGUCGGAGGGGGUGAAUGCUAAUUUUUUUUGUUGAUGAGGUUGAGAGACAUACUGUUGAUAUCCUGGGGCCUUAUCACGAGAGCGAAUAUCUGUCGGCUCGCAAGAUUGUUCCACAUGGUGUCUAAGUGAAUCGUAUAUUUUCUGACAUGGGAAUAGAAGUAGAGCCUCGAGUCAAGCCUCGUAAACCCUCGAAGCGGAUGCGCGAGGCUGGUGCUACUGGUUCUCCGGAAAUUGGCAGCAAUGUAGGGAAAGGGAAAAAGAAAAAGAAAGCUGAAGAUUCGUUUGUCAUGGCCGUUGUUGAAGUUGGGAAAAAGUCAAAGACUCCUAGUCUUGAAGCCCUUAAAAAGAACAGUUUUCUUAGUCAAGGCUCUUCUGACGAUCAAGCGUUAGGUUGUUCCAGCAAAGGCUCGAUGUUGUGGAGGAUUUGAAACCCUUGAGUUGAAAGCCCGAGGUUAAAGCUAUUGAUUCAAAGAUUGAGCUCGAGGCUGCGGGGGCUUUAGCAGGUUUGAAGCUUAAGAAGGUUGCCAAAAAAUUUGGACUAUGAAUUGUCAGUGUCUUAGAUGAUGACAACGAUGAUGAUGGCUUUUUGGAUGAGGAUUCAUCGUUGGUUUCUCCUCUGCGAGGUUUGCUUGAUGACAAAACUUUAGAUGCUCCUAGUCAAAAGGAGUUGCACCCCGAGGUUGUCGUUUCUGCCAAGAAGGCUAAUCCUGACUCGGUGGUGUGGAGUCUGCGGAGCAGCCGUUGCAUACUCCAUCAGGUAAAAAUGUCAUCGAAUAUCCACCUGAAUUAAGCUUCGUGGAUGCUAGCGGUGCUUCCACUAAAUUUUUGAUGGAAUUGUAAAAUACUAUUAGCGCAGCUGGAGAGCCAUAUAUUGAACCCUCGUUGCUUUUGAGGGUGGACUCUCUGCCCGAGGUUCUGCCCCGCCUCAGUCUGUGCUGGACUACAAUAAGGCUUUCGGAACAAAUCUUAAGGAGAAAUUACUAGAUGUCCAUGUGCUCGGGUUAGGUGAGGAUGACUAUCCUUUCAAUCCUACACUACUAUGGGGACUGAGGGACUCACUUUGGGUUGUAGGUGAGACAGUGGAAGCAACUUUGAAGGAGACGUCUAAAUUCGUGAGGAGGGUGAACUUGCUAAAGAUGAAGGGAAAAAUCCUCAAGCUCCUGCGUGGGUUAAGGCUUCAGUUCAAAGUGACACCCAGGGUAGUUAUUUUGAUCCUGAGGGUUAGUAUUUUGUUGGAUUUCUCUCUAGCUCUCUUUUUUAUGAGAUCUUUGCUUAGGAUUUUCACUUUUAUUUUGCAUAAUAAGAAAAAUCUUUGCGAUGUUUAUGACCUUGAUCAUUUGGCGAGGAUCACAGCUACCCUUGGCUACAAAAUGUGAAUUUUGUUGUUGUUUUUAGUGUUUUUCCUUAACCUGUUUGAAACUUUUCCUUGAUAUACUUUUUGUUUUUUUGUUUUUUCUUCUGGUGUAAUUGUUGGCAAGUUUGCUACUGAUAGGCUUCAAUAUAAAGAGAAAUCUAUGCUUGAGCAGAGUGCUAGAAUUCUUGAACUCGAGACUGAAAUGUCGAAGUUGAGGAAAGAGAAAUCCGCGUUGGAUAGUCUCUGUAACUCACUUAAGGAACAAAAUGCUGAGGUUAAGAAGAACAAAGACCUUCUUGUGAUGACAUGUAGUGAUCUUCCUCAAAAGGUGGAAACCUUGGAGAAGAAUUCAUAGACAACCUCGUGGUUCUUGAGAAGCUGCGUAGUACCAUCGAGAGAGAUGCGCCGACUAUUAGUUGUCUAGCAAAAACAACGAGGGGCUUGCAAAGCCUUGUACUGAAAAGGAUUCAAUGAUUCAAAAAUUGGGGAAGAGCCUCAAGGAUCAGAAAGGUUUUAUUUAUGGGCCGAAACAAGUGCUGAAGGCCCGCUUUGCUCAGAUCCAUGAGGGAUACAAACUUGCCCUGGCUGAAUUUGGGGCAGAGCCGCUCCCCUUUCCUAUCGAUUCUGGCGCUAAGGAAAUGUUCGAUUGGAUGGACAAAGAGCUCGAGUCCUUGCCUUAUGUUAUUGCAUGUGCUAGUGACUACGCCGCUUCCUUUUACUGCGAGGGCACUCUAAAGAUGCUCGAGGGGGAAGGCUGGUCAAACUUUCUGACACUCGGGCCACGUAGCUAUUAGUUUCCCUUAGCCUCGGAGCUUGAUGCACAAGAGAUGUCCAAGAAUGUGAAAAUUGGAAAGAAGAAUUUCUUGAAGCAGUUUUGGGCGGCUUCCGGACAUAAUUAUGCGAAACUAGUUGCCUGAGAUCAUCUUGUGAAGGUUCGUAUCAUUUUUCCUUUGUAAGAAAGCUUGCUAAGGUACUCUUCUUUUUGCCUAUGGUUUUCCUUUUUUCUUAUGACAGGUUAAAGAGACUGAAUUGGAAGAGAAAAACAAUUAGGAGGUGGGAAGCUCGGAGCAUCAUGAGGUUUAGGUUCAAGUCUGAAAAAGUCUGAACUUUUAAUGUACAGGUAGGGUCUGAGUACUGGAAUAGUUAUUUGUUGUAACUUAACCUACGUAGAUCCUUGGUGAUGGUCCUGUGCAGGACAUACUUUCCCUUCGAUUCCAUCGUGUGAACGUUGUUGCUAGUGGGCACACUUGGCGUCUUUAUCAUUCUUUUUCAUCCCAACGCUAGUUUUCAUCUUUACGUUGGAUUAUCCAACUGUACACUUGGUGUAGUGGAAGAAGAAAUACCUGAAGCCUUAAGGGUGAAGUCGGGGCCACUUAGCCUAGAAAACAGUGAAUUUGACUUAGCCUUUGUGUGUGAUGUUGUAGAGUUUCGAGGUUCGAAACCUGGUCAUGUGAUUGAAUUGUCAUUUUGACAGGUAACAAAACUCACAUAUAGGAAUAAAUUCUGUUUUUUCUUGAAAAAACAUCAACCCCUCCUUAUUCCUUUUUGCGAAGAUUUUGUUGUAGCUAUUAAAGAUCGAGCAUGUUUGUUUAAUAAGGUUUUUGGCAUGUGAUAUUUUGAUUAGCCUUGAGGGGGUUAUUGAUCUGUUGCUUUAGCGUAAUUUUCACACUUAAGGAUGAAAACCUUUUUUGCGAAAAAUGUCACCGCCCCCUUUCAUUCCAUUGUGUGAAUUGUGUUGGUUGAUGCCCUUUUGAUCAAUGAUUGGGUCAUCCUCGAAACUUUUAUCUUUUGAUGUAAUUUUUAUUAAAGUUUCUGUACUCAAGUGUUCUAAUGAUAAGUUAACAAAAACUUGUUUCGAGUUUUGUGGGCUUCAAAAAAUUGGAUGAAAAGUUAGGUCGAAAUCGCAACUUUUGGUUGCUUUGACCAUAAAGCUUGUAGACCUGCGAGGUUAGGUAAAAUUUUGCAUAAACGCUGAUCAUGUAAAGCUGAUGCCAUAACUUUUGCUUCUGGAUAGAGAUUGCGCAGAAAUGCAACUCUUUUUUUGCACAGAUAUGCGAUGUUUUGCUUGCGUAGAAAUGCAAGGUUCGAGGUAUUCAAAAAGUAGAAUUAAUGUGCAACUUCUUGUUGCUUUUGCCCGAUGAUUGCGCAGAAACGCAAGUUUUUUGUCGCACAGAAAUGCGAGGUUUUGCUAUAAUUUGUUGUUGCCUUUUGUUUUAGCUUGCACAGAAAUGCAAGUCUUGCUUGCGCGGAAACGCAAUGUGAUAGCCCCUUCGAGGCUUGACAAACAUGAGGUAAGGGGGAAUUGUACUUUAUUAGAAUGUAAAAGGUUUAAAUAGAUCCGCAGCGUUAAAAACCUUGGCUCCAGCGUGGAGCCCCCUAGCAAGGAAAAGAUUAUCGUCCGUUUCUUGGAAAGUAAAUGCGAGAAAGUAAAUUUUCCACCCUCAACGUUGUUUAUAGAUUCACAGGCCGAAGGCUUUUACAAGUGUGGCGACUAUGGGUAAUAUUUGUGCAAGUUAUCCAUAUUCCAAGAAUGUGGUAACUCUGCUCCAAGCUAAUUUGCAAGGUAAAAGGAUCCUGCCCUGUUGCUUCGAGUGACAACAUAUGACCCUUCCCAAGUUUCUUGUAACUUCCCAAGGUUCUCCUAGUUCUUCCUCUUUUUGAUAACUAGAUCUCCUACCUUGAUUUUUUUUCACUACUUUCCUAUCCCUCCAUUUUCUUAUUUCUUAUUGAUACUUGUCAAGAUUUUCUGUUUCUUGGAGUAUGUCAAGCUCUAUCAUGUCCUUACCGAUCUUCUCAUAGUCUAAGGAAGCCUCGAUCUUGAGCACUCUUAAGAUUUCAUUCUUAAUUUCUUCAGGUGUCAUUUGGCUCGGGCGGGCACAAUUUCGUCAUGUUUGUUAGGUAGUCUUUCAGUUCUGCGAAGGCUUUGCUUUGCUGCUUUCCCCAUUCAAACUUCUUGGAGCUUCGCAACACUUGAAAAAGGGUAGACUUCUUUCAGCAGCUCUCGGAAUGAAUCUGUUGAGGGCUGCUAUUCUUCCUGUCAAUUUUUGCACAUCUUUUACCGAAACUGGUUCUUUCAUGUCGAUUAGAGCUUGGAUUUUAUCUAGAUUAGCCUCGAUGCCCUUGGUUGAGACUAGGCAUCCUAGGAUCUUACUUCGUUGAAUUCCAAAUACACAUUUUUUUGGAUUCAACUUUAAGUUUGUUGCCCUCAGAUUAGCAAUGGUUUCUGCGAGGUCAUGAAUAUGAUCUUUACGUUUGUCACUUUUUACCACGAUAUCAUCCACGUAAGCUAGGAUGUUUCUUCAAAGCUAUGUGCUUAGGACUAUUGCUAUCGUUCUUGAGAAAGUUGACCCCGCAUUCUUGAGCCCCUCGGGCAUUCUCAAAAAGCAGCAUGUCCCGAAUGGAGUGAUGAAACUCGUCUUUUCCUCAUCUUCCUUUUUCAUUCGUACUUGGUGAUAGCCUGAGAAAUUAUCUAGUAGUGAUACCAUUUCACUAUUUGCAGUGUCAUCUACCACCUUGUCAACCCUUUCUAGUGGGAAGUCAUCUUUUGGGCAUGCCUUAUUGAGGUCAGUAAAAUCUAUACACAUUCUCCAUUUGCCAUUUUUCUUCUUGACUAGAACUAUGUUUGCCAGCCAUUCAGGAUACAUAACUGUGCAUAUUACAUUAGCAUCAGCUAGCCUUUGAACCUCUGCUUUAACAGCUUGUAUCUUAUCUUCUGACAUUUUUUGAAGCUUGUGCUUUUUUGGUCUCCCGCCUUUGUUUAUUUCUAACUUGUGUUCUAUUAUAUCUCUAUCAAUUUCUUGCAGGUCACCUACAGACCAUGUGAAGACAUCCUUGUUCGUGUUCAAGAAUUCUAUUAGCUUUUCUUCAUCGGGUUCGAGGUUGGCCCCGAUGAUUACAGCUCUAUCGAGGACAUGUUCAUCUAGCAACACUCUUUUGGUUUCACCAUCAGCAUUCAUUUUCACCUUUUCUUUAUCUUUUUUAGGCUCGACGUAUGGCUUUUUCUUUUCUGAGGGCUCAACCUUGUUGGAACUUGCUAAGUGUUGUACAUUUUUCUGCCCCGGGAUUGCACCUUUUUCAAUGUCCCUGACUGUUUGCUGAUCGCCGUAGACUGUGAUGAGUCCUUUCAUUGUUGGGAUCUUCAUACACAAGAACAGCUACCUUAUCACUGCAUCAAACUUGUUGAUGAAUCCUUUGCCAAAGAUAGCGAAUUAUGGAUAGUACAUUUCCACAACAUCGAACGUUAUGUGUUCCGUUCCCGUGUUGUCUAGGUUUCCAAAUGAUACUGGUAGUGUGAUUUUCCCCAAGACUCGUACUGGCUUUCCAGCGAACCAAGUAGUGGCACUUCUGCUGGCUGUAGCAGGAGAGGAUCAAUUUUCAUUUCUUUGAAUGUGUUUGUGAAAAUGAUAGCUGUUGAGCUUCCAUUGUCAUUUUCAUUUCUCUGAAUGUGUUUGUGAAAAUGAUAGUUGUUGAGCUUCCAUUGUCAACUAAUUGUAGCAGGUGAGGAUCAAUUUUCAUUUCUAUAAAUGUGUUUGUGAAAAUGACGGCUGUUGAGCUUCCAUUGUCAACUAAUACUUUUCCAAUUGUCCAUCCUGCAACAAUAGCCUCGAUCACCAUUGUGUCAUUAUGCGAGGCUGUUUUGAGUUUGAAGUCUUCUUCCGUGAAGGAGAUGGGUAUGUGUGCCCAUUCUGGCUUAGCUGGUGGUCCAUCAGGGAUGAUCGAAUGGAUUUGUCUGAAGUAAUUUUGCCUUUGCCUUUUGUUCUCAAACUCUAGUGGGGGUCCACCCACUAUUGGUAUGAUCAUGCUGUAGGUGGGCAAGGCGUUGGAAUUGGUUUUUGGAUUUUCGAAUAGUUGCGAGAGUCCCCCUGCUAUUGGCAUUAUCAUGCCGUAGGUGGGUAGGGCUUUGGGGUUGCUAUUUUGACCAUUAUUAGGCUUGGCUUUGGAUAUUUGAUUGGGUAGAUUUGGUGGAGGUAGUGGUAUCUCUUGUAGAGGCUGAGGCAGUGCGAAGGUUGCAGUUUGUGAGGCUUGCUGACUUUAAGAUUGAAACUGUGGCGAUGGUUGCCACAUCAUGGUGGGUUGGUAGUUGAAGGAAGGAUUAGUAAAUGAAUUUGCGAGGUUGGGUUUAUGGGCGGUAUGGAGGUUCAUUUGUGGAUAAACAUGGCAAUAUGGUUGUUGUGGCCAAAAAGAGGUGUGGUGGAUGAUUUUUGGCGCUACUGUUGCUCUUUUUUCUUCUGCUAUCCUUUCAAAAGUCUUUUUUGUUUCUGGGCAGAAGUCGGUCGUGUGAUUUAGUUGCUUGCCAUGAAAUGUGCAAUAGAACAUUCGAGGUUAGUUGUUCUAAUUGUGUGGCUUCAGAGGUCCUCAGCCUCGGCCCCUCCUCCUGCUUGAGCUGCCCCUUUGCCCAUUGCCAUAACUUGUUUGUUGUUGCUGAUGGGGUUGUCCAUUUUGAUUUUGACUUCGUUGCUGUGAGGGUUGAGCACCCUCAAUCGGUAGCACAUGUUGAGCUGGAUAUGGCUGUUGAUGUUUGCGAAAUUGUAUUAUGGGGUUUGCCAAUUUUGAUAUUUUUAGGCUUGCCUUUGGCGAUUUCUCUCCAUUACUCUUUUUCUGUGGUCCUCAUCCGACCUGCAGUAUUUUUCCAACUCGGCGAACAAAGCUUACAUGGUUUUAGGUUUUUCAUGUGUUAGGUGCGAAGCUGUCGGGCCUGGUGUUAACCCUUUGAUGCAAGCUGCUAUGGCUACACUUUUGUCCACAACUGGAGUUUGUGACUUCAAUUGUACGAAUCCUUUGACAUAAUUGGCUAGGGGUUUUUUGUCUCUCUGGAUGCAGUGGAACAAGUCACCCAAGUAUGUUGUUGCACGAUGGAAGCCUUGGAAGUUUUGUAUUAGCUUUGUUUUGUGUGACGGAACAUCCGACUUAAACUAGCUUAAGUGCACCUAAUUGGUGUCGGAACUGCAAUUAUACGAAACAGACUUAAAAUAGUGUAAGCUCGGUAGUCCGUCGAGUAUCCCUAGGAUGCCUCCGAACAUCCACGACAUGUUUCAUAGCCAUACAUCAAGAUCGCUUCCAUGAAGGGAAAGCAUCAACAAAUAUUACAUUUUUACAUAGAUACAGAAGGUGCGAAUUAUUAUAAACCGUAGAUUGAAGUAAACUUAACGGUGAAAGUUUUGAACAUAAAAACCAGCCCAAGGGCAAGUAAUUAUACACCUAGGGUAUUAUGAGACUCGUAAAUACCUUAGUUCUUCAGGACUUCUUAUUCGGAAGUCCCUUGUUGUGCUUUUGAAAACAACAACAAUAUAGAUAGAUUUAAAAUAUUGUAUGAUAGCUUUAUGGUGUAGUAGGUGACUCACAAAUUUUUGCGAAAAGCUUACUAGUAGUGGCACCUUAGUUGUAUCAUUUUAAUUUAGAAUAGUUUUACCUGAACGUACUCGGCGAAUAAAACAUUUUUGAGCAAACAAGUGGAACUAAGUCAUACAACAUAUUAAUUUUAGAAAAAUAUUAUAUUCAACUUAAUUACUCUACGAUGCUUAAGCGAUGAUCAAGUGCAUUCAUAACUGAGAAUUGCGGUGAUCCGGGCUGAUUUACAUCCUGCAGGAGAUACCUAAUCACCAGCUAUGCACAACUGAUCGGGUUGCACAUAACAACCUUUCGAUUAGGUGUACCCAAAGAUCGAAAAUAUAACUACCCGAACCCAUGGAUGCACCCCCACAUGGGACUCCACGUCUGGCCUGAUCUCCAUGAGAGUUUCAGGCUACGCCCCUGCCAUUCUCCAGCAUGACAAGCACUUAGGAAUAUGGGUACCCCAUGGGUCACCACUGACCAGGAUACUGGCUGGACCUGACAAGUGGGCCCACCCAACCAGGGCGUACAGGCCGAGGACAUGAAGAUACUUGGAGUGCAUGUCAAGGAGGCCAAGUGGUUCAAAUCAGCUCGGAUGUUGCGGGACGCGUUUUGUAGUCCAACUCAGAUUACCUUUCAUGUAACUACCAAGUAAAUUAGAUUCAAAUCAACUUGUAACCCUAGGUCGUCAGCCUAUAUAAGGGGGCCAAGGGCACACCCCAAGGGUAUGGCGUGUCGACUCUCGAGCAAUAUAAACCAGCAACAUACAGGAUGUAGGGUAUUACUCUCCGGAGGCCCGAACCUAUUUAAAAUCCUCGUGUCACUGGUGCUCUCACGAUCACCUUCGAGUUCUUGGUCUCGCAAUCGCCUCCACCUACAAAUUGACCACUUGGGGAACCCCCUGGUGGACUGUCGGGCUUAUAAAUCCGACAAGCACGGCUAAGAAUAUUUCCAAUAAGAGAGCCAACUAACCCACCAGGCUUGCUGGUUGCCAAUGGCAUUAAGCAACCAGGUAAAAUCACUUGAUCAAAGGUUAAUACAACGAACGUGCCUUAACCAAAUUAACUUAGUAGAGAGAACUACCAUCUCUAGCUUCUGUCCACCUUUCCAAAAUUUCAAGUUAUUUUCCUUGAUUAACAUGUAUGACACUUUUAACCUUAGGUAAUCGAGUAACAAAGGGAAUCUAAGCAUUUCUAAGCAUAGGAUGGUUACUAAUUAAUUGAAUAGGUGGUAAAGAUGUCCUAUAAACAAGGUGGGGUCCUUCAUAAGAAUUGGUUGCAAUCAACUCCUAGACUUAAUGCAUUCAUAAGGAAAUAACAAUUAAUUGGACUCAUGAAUAAUAAUUUUUGAAAUUAGAUAGGCUUAGAUGCACCGGGGCUUGCCUUGAUUCACAAAAAAGUUAGUAUUCUCUGGAGCUUCUUCCACACAAGGGAUCAAUUCAACUACCUCUUUGAAUUCCUAAGGUUCUUCUGGGAUUUCCAAGAAAUCCACUUUCGGGGCUUCUAUGUCUACGAUAGGAUGCAUGCAUUAGUUAGAUAUGCAAACCUUUGAAACAAAAGACUAUACAACUUAUCUUCAUGAUAAAGUUUCAAGCCAACACUAAUCUACCCAAUGAUUAACCCACAAUUUUAAUUUCCUUAACUAACCUAACUUAAGCAUUUUCUUUUUUAGAAAAGGAUUAUAAUUAAUUUAUAAUAUGAAAAACUUAAUUCCUAUGGAUUAAUAAAUAUUUGUGAAUAAUAAAAAUAUUCAGAAUUUUAUUCAUUUCAUAAAGAUUACAUAUUUAUUUAAAUAGCUUAAUCAAAGGCAUUAAUAAAUACUUCAAUUUUUAUUUAUUUUAUCCUAGGGUUUAAGAAUUUUUAAUUCAUAAAGGAAAAUAAAAUACACCUAAUAAAAUUGGUUUCACUAAAUUUAGACAAUUCUAUAAAUUCUAAUGAUUUAAAUAUAAAAGUAGGAAUUUAAAUCUAUUUUCUAAAUCUAAAACCCAACAGUAUCCAAAAUGCCCCCCUUCUGUACUUUUCUCACGCAACUCCGGCGUACCCUACAUGCUGACACGCGGGCCCCGGGUCAACAGACUAACCCCCAGCCUUGACCGAGAGCGGGUCGGUGGGUAAGCGUCGAACCUCGAUGCCGGUGAUGUUCCUGGCAACGGGGAGGCCUCCACUAGACUCGCGACACCCUUCCGCAUCCCCUGAUGGUGUUCUAGCGGUGGUUGGUUGGACGAUGAUGAUGAAUGGCACAAGAUCGAUGGCGGCGUAGUGACGCUAGCUGACCGUCGGCGCAAAGCUCACCGGCGGUGACCCUAUGGCAACAAACGACGCUGCAGCCUCUACCACUACGCUAGCAACCCAGCACGCCCUCCAACCCGAGCAAACCAUGGACGGAGCAAUGCUCUCCACAGCGGCGACCAUGGCACAAGCACGACGCACGGCAGCGUGAGCGUUCUGGCCAUGCCGGCGGGACUCCAAGCCAACAAGCGAGGCCUACACCAUCCCUAGCUCAUGCGUGACCUACCCAAACCCUUGGACCAUGACUAGAACUUCGGCACAAGGCAUCUCCACGGCGGCGCCCUUACCAGAUCCGAGCGGCGGCCAGAACCGAGGAAGAAGGUGGCGAUGAACCGAGGUUGUGAGGACAGUGGCUGGACGGAGGCUGUCGGGAUGAGUUUUUGGAAGGGCCUCAGGGUGGUGUUUUUGGCAGAGCGGACUAAAUGGCGGUGGUGGGACACCAGCGGAGCAGAACGACAACCGGGCCAUGGUGAAAAGCAGCGCACGUGGUGAAACAGAUAAUGCCGGCGGCGGAGCAGAAUAGCGAUCGGGGCGCGGUGAAAAGCAGAGCACGCGGUGAAACAAAUAAUGCCGGGGGCGCGAGCAGUAAAGACAUGAAAGUUUCACUACCUUCCCGAGCGCCACCUCCUGCCUGCUUGCCUGGUCUCGUGGGGCUUGCCUUUACUGGCGCAUGGCACAGCGGCGGCGCUCUUGCCAUCAAUGGCAAACAGCUGUGUGGCACCGGGCCGGCCCUGCUCUUCCUUUUUCUUUCCCCAAUUCACCCGAAAGUUCAGCUUCAAUUUGUGCCCGAUUUGCAAUUCAAGGUCUUGGAUUUCCUUUAAGAGAAGUUGCAGAGGAUCAUGUGUUCUACAUUUGAUUGAUUUGCAUCGGGAUCAAAAGAUCACUCCAUCACCUUGAAUUUUUGCCCCCAAGUCGAGUUAGGGUUCUGCUCUGUCAGAACUAAAUUGCCCCCCUCCAUUCAGUUUCAUCAGAGACUUCCAAAACAGCCCGAUGCUUCACUUUGAGCUCAAAUUCAACAACUCAAACUUGGUUUAUUUUGCCAAACAGCUACUGGAAUUUGUUAACCAUAUGACAGGGCUUCUAUUUUGCCUCUUAAAGCCUAAUGCUUAGAUAUAAAAUCUUCCAAGAUUUCAAGCCAAAAUAGACCAAAUCUCACUGUCCAUAUAACUAAAUUGGCGAUUGCCAUUCGGUUUCGUCAGUUAAACUGACAGUAAAACAUUCAAACUUUGAGCUUCCAGAAAAAUUUGAAGUUCCUUCUUUCCUUGUCCAACAGCAUGCUCAAACUAUUUACUGGACAUCAUAGUCCACUUGUAAUCCAAAAUCUUUCAAUUUUUAUAUGAAAAAUCUUCCAGAAUUGAAUUUCAAAGUUGCAUACCGGACACUGUUUUUAGACUUCACUCAGUUCAGCAACUAAGUUGAAAACUACACAACUUUCAAAAUAUGAACCUCAUUUAAAAUAUCAAUCCUUGGUUUCUCUAGCAAACAACAGGUCCAAUAGAUUCACUACAUAUCAAAGUCCACUUGUUUCCCAAAACUUUCCACUUUCCAAAGCUUACCUGAAAAAUCUCUUAGAAAAAAAUUUCCAAAUUGCCAACUUGCCACUGUAUUCAGACUUAAAAGUUUUUCUGAUGGAAACAAUAACUUCAAUCAGCCACUUUGAUUUUUGAAUUUUUGAUGCGUUUGACUUGAAUUUGGUCUCUAAUUUGAUUCCUUUGAAUUCUAAAUACCUCCAAGGCUUGACUUCAUAUUUUUGUCGAAUUUCUUCGAAUUUGAAUCUCAAAUUUGCAUUUUUGGUCAAAUUUGACCCAAAGUUGACUUUGGCCCAUAAUAUCUUCUUAUCAUCCAAAAUUCAUUAUUAAGACUUUAAGGGCCAUUCUUAAACCUUUAACAACCUGGUUGUUACAUUUUGAGAUCGAUCCAGUUGUAUACUAACUGCGGUAGGAGCAGUGAAUACUAGUUCAACGUGGCACCCUCGCAGGCUAUGAUUAGGGACUUGGCUAAGAAAACAUCGUCUCCUCUAGCUGAUGCUACUGCAGCUUCGUAGCUCAUGAGGAACUGACUAGGGUAAUUUUGCCCAUUGAACUUUGGUAGUGAAAUUGUCUUCUAGGUUCGAGGCCACAAAGCUGUUUGCAGACCUAUGGACAGUGGAGACCUUUGGUCGAUUGCUACAUAGGCGCAUGUCAUCACUGGCACGUUGGUUAGGAUUUGCUUGCGAGAUGUUUGCGGUGUUCACGACAUGUUGCUAUCUCAAGGGUGAUGGUUGUGUUUGCGGUUGUGGUAGCGUGUUUUGUAAGUAUUGCACUUGCAAUUCUGCCAAUUGUUGUUUUGCUUGAUUUAGUUUUGCUAUUUUUUGGGCAGCUAGACCUUGGGCUUCUAGUUCUUAAGCAAAUCUUUCUUUUUCUUGUUUUAGAGUCUCCAGUGGCUUUAGGACCAAGGCCAACUCCUUUUAUGCUGCUCCGAGCUGAUCGUUGCUUGUGCUUGUCUCAGGUUGUGCUUGGUUUGUAGCUUCUGCCUUGACCCUUUUUUUCUCGCUUCUUGUUCGUAAAUUAUCCUCGACUCUCUUUAACUUCUCUAUGGUAUUUGUGUCAUCUUAAUCAACAUGGACAAGUCUUUUCUCUUUAGCCACAGGGUUCUCUCUUUUACCCUCAGCGGCUUCCUGUAGUCCGGUCUUCUUCUUCCUCGUUUGUGGCAUCGUGGGUUGUUUUGUGGCUAAAAACAUGGUGGGCGCCUCUGUUGGUGUCAAACAAUUUCAACACCGAACAUAUUUAGAGUUACAAAUAGAACGGAGCCUUCCUUUUAAUUGAAAAGGCGUUCUUCCUUUGCAAUAGGGUUGGGCUCCCCUUUUAUAGUGAUCCAUGGCCUACUUUACAUUCCGAAAAUGUCAUCUCUAAACCACUAUAUCCCUAGGACAUGUGGUACAUAAAGGUCAUUAAGGAACACGUGUAGAAAUUAAACUUUUCCACGUGGUCACGCUUCUCAUACCUUUCUCCCUCUAACCUUGAGACUUAAUCUUCAUUUUAAGCUGAUCGUCCAGCAUCGAGGCUUCAUCCGCGAUCGGAGACGAAUGCCCGACCUCGAGGCGCCUGCUUCAUUGAGUUUUGUCAGGAGGUCCUAACCUCGCAUAGUUCUUCUCCGAGCAUCAUUCCUGAGUAAAGAGUAAAAAGAUAAAAUCUCGGUGUCCAAAACUGACUCCAAACACUCGAGGGUUAACCUAGUGGGAGUUAGCAAUUAUUGUUGUCAAUCACUACCCUCGAGUCCUUCCAGGAUCAGAGGUGAUGCAAGGAUACGAGAUUUACUAUUAGAGUUGCCUCCAUAGAGCGUGCGAGGUUAAAGGGGUUCCACUUUCCUUGCUGCCGAUGCGCAACUUGCGAGGUUAGUCUUGAAACUUGCUAACGACGUUCGAGGGUAACUGAGUUUUACUCUCAAGGGGUGUUUGGAUACUUGAGCUAAAGUUUAGUUCUUGUCACAUUGAAUCUUCGGAUGCUAAUUAGGAGGACUAAACAUGAGCUAAUUAUAAAACUAAUUACAUAGAUGAAGGCUAAUUCACGAGACGAAUCUAUUAAGCCUAAUUAAUCCAUGAUUUGAUAACGUGAUGCUACAUAUUUAAUUAGGCUUAAUAGAUUCGUCUCACGAAUUAGCCUCCAUCUUGCAAUUGGUUUUGUAAUUAGUCUAUGUUUAAUACUCCUAAACAUUCGAUGUGAUAGGAACUAAACUUUAGUCCAUGGAACUAAAUGAGGUCUCAGUUUGGAACUCGCGAGGCUAGAAAGACUCCGCACCUCUUUAUACUUGAUGUAAAACUUGCGAGGUCAAAGGGUUUCCUCUACCGUGGACGGCGCUCGAAAUUGUUCAGCCAUGGUGGAGGUGACAUCCCGAGUCACUCGCCAUAGGGUCGUCAUUGUUGGAAUAUAUGGGCUUGGUCCAAAUAUUUAUUCAAUUACAAGGAUUAAAAGCCCACUAAUAAAUGCUAGAGAGUUAAGUGCUUAGUCCCACAUGGGGAUUUAAAGAGGAUCUUUACUGACUUAAAUGGUGGACUUUGAGUACACCUAUUGCGAAGUCGAUAAAAGAGAUUGGCAUGCCACACGUGCGCACGCGCUCACUCGCCUCACCGGGCCGGGCCGUGGGCGUGCCGUGCCGAGCCGAGCCGACGAGCGAAGCGAUGCAACGCGAUGUGUGUUGUGAACCUUUUGCAGGUCGUUAGAGUCAUCAAUUGAGUCAAUCCAGUGACGGCUAAGGACUAAAUUCGGGAAUAUUCUAACGGUUACUGGUUUGAUAGCCUUGAUUACUGGGUAAAUUGAUUUUGUUUGAUGACUGUGCUGACUACCAGAUCAUGUCCAGGUUCAUCAUCGCUCUCUCAUCGCUCAGCUAUAUAAGGCUCUCUUUCCCCUCCUGCUAGACUCACACUGCACCAAGUACUCCUUUCAGGAGACUUCUCUCUUCUCCCUCUGUUUUUCUGUUGCGCUCUUGUAUUCCCAUCGCCAGCACUGCGCGCAAACAUUCUAGCGAGAGCAGAGCCUCCGGAAUCUCGCCUUCUGCCAGAGAUCCUACUCGGGAUAGGCAGGUGAUAAGAUUGUUGAGGAGCGUUGAACGCGACUGCUCACUCCCUUCCUGAUCGACUACUUCUUGGUGGCCAAGACGCUGAUCGACUACUCCCUCUUUUUCCUGGAGGCCGUUCGAGUGAUUGCAUUGCAACGACCUCUUCGUGCGUCAUUAUUGUACGACUACAUCGACUGAGGCCAUCUCACGACUAGUAUGACUAGUCCAGAUGGUAAUGGCGCAUCCGGUGCCUCCGGCACCGGCCCCGCCCCAUGGUACAUUCUAAAUCAUUUGUGCCUAUUUUCGUUCCUGUUUAUUAGUUGUUUAAACUUGAACACUGGCACAUUUUAUCAUACCACCAAAUCACUUAACAUAUUCGUGAUAAUAUUUUACAUGUUUAAUUUUAAAAUUAAAAUAUGCUGAAAUAUGUCUAAAUUUCUAACAGUCAUCACUCUCGGUUCCUCGAUCGAUCAAUGGCUCCAAAUAUAUGCAUAUCAGUGCACGUCGCAGCCUAGCAUGCCGUGGCUAGCCGGCUACGGCCUAGGGCGGCCUGGGCUUUGGCCGGCCGCGGCCACUGUGCCGUGCGUGCAUGUGCUCAGUGAGGAUCCGUGCGACGAGCCGACGACCGGCGUCGUACGCUGUCGCGUCAAAAUGAUCGGCGGUGGUGGUGGAUGGAUGGAUGGGGACAAGCUAGGCUUCUAGUAGCAGCAGCUGCUGCUGCCUAGGCCUAGAAGGCUUUUAGCGUGGCAGGCCUGCAGGCUGCACGAGGGGAACCGGAAGCAGGAAUAUCUCGCGGUACGGCGCGGCCACGGGAGGGAGGACGAUCGCGGCGCGGGAACAUGUGGAGUCACCCGUCACGUAGGCAUAGAUCGUACUGAGUGAAAGGAUGAUGUGGAUCGGUGGAGAGGAGAGGAAUCCAAUUUCUUUCCAUCCAUACGUGUUGCGCUGAUCCCUUUCUCUUCUAUUGCGGUGUACUCGACGUUGGUGUCCUUGCCGAACGUCCGUGACUCGUCGCUUUUUGGGGAUAGACGGCGUUAGCGCAAUACGGAACUGCACACCCUGCUACGCUAACUGGAGUGAAAGUAAGCAGGCUGCAUGUAUGGUUAUUAUUUAGCUAACGUUAUUUAGAAAAAAAAAGUAACAUUUAUUUUAAAUUGUUGGAACUUUUGAAUGGUGUGUCCGUUUCAAAUUUCGUUUGAUUUGAGCUCUGCGCGACAAGACGAACAAAACUAGACCCCACUUGAAUAUAUUUUCAAGACUUUUUAUAUUAGUAACAACUUAUGUGUAAAGGUGUGAUCGGAGAUUAUAUAAAGAGUUGCUACCAAUAAUAUACUAAAAUUGUCACAUGGUAUAUGCAUUAGGUGGUAUCACAAAACUAUAUUAAAUUUGAUACACAGUAUGCACAUAAGCUGCAAUCGUAAAAAAUAUAUGAUAAACAUCUUACGUAGUAGCAAAGUAUGUCAUAAGUUGCUAUUAGCAGAAAUAUAUUAAAAUUAUUACAUGGUAUACACAUAAAUUGAUAUCAUAUAAUCUGUAUUACUAUGUAAAGGUGUGAACAACUUAUUUGCAUAGAGUAUAAUAACUUAUCUACUAUAUAUAGUAAUUAAAACAAUGUGGUGACUUAUUUAGAUAGUUUAGUCUUCAUAAUGGUGAGUAAUACGAAUGUAAAAAUUUAUUUGUGUAGCAAUUUAUGUACAUAGUUUGUCGAGAGAUUUACACAUAAGUCAUUCCACCCUUAUAAGUAGUUACCACACACUUAAUAUAAGUUGUCAGUACAUAAAAAAUGUUUCAAAAUAUAUCGAUCGUGAGUCUUGUUCUGUAGAUCUCAACAUAAGAAACAAGCGGAAUUGAAAAUGAUACUUCAUAAGGAAGUUAUCAUAUUUUUUAGAAGCGAAACCAAUAAAAGAAUUGCGAGUCACAGUAGCCCACCUCCAUCCCAUCGGGCAGUUAGACGGCAACAUCAGUCACGCUCUCAUACGAUAGAACGACCCGUCAUUAAAUAAACUUUCCUGGGAUUUGCUUGAUGCUCUUGGUGUCGUGCAACAAUGCAGGCAUAAGAUUUCGGUGAACAGAAGAACUGAAAGAGGGGACUUGUGUAGCUCCAUAGAAAAUAUUAGACCCAUCUUGUAACGGAUCGAGUUUUUGUAGCAUGUCCUUAAAAAAGCUCGCAGCGUUCGCCGCUGCCGCCACCAACAAGGGGCUCCUAUACACCUAGUGGAAGAUGAUCCAUAAGGCUCAGAUCGAUAUGAGGACGGUGGUUCAUUAAAUAUUUUAAUUGAAAAAUAUUGGAUAAAUUUUUUGAACCAACAUUAAAAAAAAAGUUAGAAUCCAACCCAGAAAAAGUUAGGUCUUCCAAUCUUAUAAAAAAAAGUUGAUCCAACCUUUUCGUAAAAAAUGUUCGAUCGGGGAAAAUGUGGGAACCUUUUUUUUUACAGUUGAAACUCAACAUUUGAAAAAAAAAAAGUUGGCUUCCGAUGCCGGCGAGCGGUGGCGGCGCGGCGAGCCCUCGCGGCUGAGGCGCGCGGCAGCCGGCGGCCUGGCGCAGCGAGCCCGCACAGCCGCGGGAGAGGCGCGCGAUGGCGUGGCGGCCGGUGAGCCGGUGCGGGUGCCGGUGCCGCGGCGCGUCGGCUGGAGGCGGUGGCGGCGCGUCCGCGUGGGGGCCGGCGGUGGCGCGGCGGCCGGGGCACGCGCGUGGGGCGGCGGCGCGAGCGGCAGGCACGGGCCGGGGCGCGUGCUGCAGGGGCUGGCGGCGGUGCGGUGGCCGGGCCGGGGGCCGGCAGCCGCGGCUCCGCGCGGGGGGCGGCGGCGGCGGCGGCGCAGGCAUGGGCGCGUGGUGUGGGGGGGGGCUAGGGUUCGAACGGUUGAAGAUGUUUGCACGAAUAUCAAGCAUCAGAAGGUGAUGAAAAAAGUUUCUUCCGGAAUAUGGAUAGGAUUCCCGCGGCGUCCGACCCCGCACUAAAUUGGUCUCAUCCAGCCCAAAAUCACCAAGCCCACACGCGCAACAAAGCCCAGUUUUGUUUCCCACUUUCGCCCAGGUGCACUCGUACGGCCCAUCAUCAUCAAUUACUGUAUGCAUGCCGCGGGCUGCAACCGCACGCAUUCUUGCAGCCCUGGAAAGCCCAACAGGCCUUCAGAACUUAUCGUUGGAGAUCUCUGCAGAACACAACAGCGCAUUCUGUGGCAAGGAAAGAAAGGUCGAACCGGCGAACUAGCGAUGUAGCGAACUGUCGUGCUCGAGCGAAACAUCAACAGCUACUUCUCCUCAACUGGUGUCCGCUGCGACUCCCCCCACAACGUGUCAAGCCCUGCACCUCCACCCAAUUGCCACCCGCGUACGCAAGUGUUGCCUGCUGCUCCCUAAUCCUCGCAUAUACUUUUAGAGCAAUCCUCCCCGUGCGCCACGAGGAUUAUUCAAUCGAUCGUGGGGUCCGACCGACCCACUGUUCCGACCAAACAAUCGAGCCUGAGCCUAGCUAGUAGCCGGCGGAGGUCCACGGGCAUGCGUCGGCGAACAGCCGAACAGAGCCACGGGGGCUACGCUACGACGAUGGGGCACCGAGCAGCGGUCGCUCUCGAUGCGCCAGCUGUCCCCGUCCAGUAGCAGCAUCCAUCAUCGCUCGCAUGUUUUGCACGAACUGGAUUGACGUGGGCCAGGCGGAUGUGUCCCGCGUCCGCCCGCUCGUCCAGCCAGGUGUCGCCGGCGCAUCGACGGGGGCCGACGGGAGGCGCCGGCGUGGAUAGGGCUGUCGGAGAGCGACGACGACGACGACGGCGCCAGCCAGCUUCUUUUACCUCGUUAUUAACGUUACGGCCGUCGGUUAAACUGGAGGCCAAGCGGCACGGCAUGGUGAUGAGCUGCCUCCUGCGGGUUGCGAUCGGGAUCGCCCACGGGCGGGCCACAGCCGGUCAGCCGCGGGGCGUAGCAGGCAGCCAGGCACAGGCACAGGCAGGUCCCUGUGAUCUGAUCGUGCUCCAGCGCCACUUUUUCCCCAUGGAAGCCAGCAUCAAGGCAUCUCCCCUUGACAGCUAACGACUCCCCGCGCCGCGCCAACCGGAGCAGAUCAGAUACGCGCCCGGCGUGGGCCCCCACCCGGCCCGUUCCCUGGCGGACAUGCGAGGUGGGCGAGAAAAGGACAAACUCAGAUUCUGAUCUCAUCCGCAUCCGCGCCCUCAGGCCUCAGCCACUCUCCCCGCCCCGCAUGGCCCACCCGACCCAAUCACCCACCCCCGGGCCGGGCCCAGCGCGCCCAAUGGCGGGGCCCACGAACCCAAUCUCCCUCCACUCUGCGCGCGCGCGCGCACAGUGCCAUUCUGCCCGCAGUCCAGUUCGGGCACGGGCGCGCGCGAUGCGUUUACCUGCCUGCCGGCAGGCUUGAGUGCUGGAUGGACUCGCUUGCUGCUGCUGGUUGGGUCAGGUAGGCAGGCAGCCCGGGCACAGGAGUGUACCUUUGCGUCUUCUGGGAUUCGGGGCAUCAGAGCAUGGGACGGUACAUUGGUCGGGGUCACGAGCUGCCCCGCUUCUUUUACCCCACUGAUUUUCUUUUUUAUUUUAUAACACAAUUGCAGAAACUUUACACUGAUUUUUUACCCAUUCGCAGGGCAUUCUUACUGCCCGCUUGGCCUUGAAAAUGCACGGUACUAGCUUCGUUCUUCUUUUCGAGAGACGUACUGGUAGCUUCGUUCUAGGAUUUGUUGCGACCGAAUGUCGUCCAGCCGGAGUUCAGCUGAUAGCGAGGUCUCUUCAGAUGAAGCAGCACGCGCGGCGUUAAUCUAUGGGAGGUUAACGUAAGCUAAUGGCGUUGAUGGAGACAAAUCCAUUUAACAGCCGCAGCUCUUGUUGACCUUUUCUGGUUGGUCGUAUUCACAUACACACAUGCGCCUGCUUUUGAAAGGUCUCAAGUAAUUGUUUGGAGGACAAACGAAUACUACAUGAGAUCAAAGAAAUAUGGCGCCACGAGGAUCACGUACCACUUAGGCAUCACGCAAUCGAAAAAUAGGAAAAAGGAAUCAAAGUAUCAGAACAAGCUUCGUUAAUUGAACUGGGUAGCAAACUUGUAAAGGAAAUGUAGUAAUGGCUUUGUUACUGCGUAUAAUUACAGUUAUUGCAAGCCCAUAAGAAAAACCUUGAAAUUUAGUCAACAAAAUAAUGCCGAGAUAAAAGGGACACGAAGGUCGGUUACACAAACACGAAGAGGCUGAUAGUAGAUCUGCAACUUGUUGGUUCUGUACCUGUGGGUCAUGCCAUUUGCAAGCAUGGCUUGAUCCUGUCAUUACUCAUUACCGAACCAGGCCCAUCCGAUGCAACUGGGUGGAUCUACUGUCUCUUUGCUAGGACCUCCAGCAAACAAUCGCCCUGAUGGGGAGAUUUUGCCUCUUUUGGCUGCGCAUGGUUCUCUAAUUAAAAAAAGGCCUCCACAAGUGCCUCCAUGCUGAUAUAGGAUAUUCCAGAACAGCUUCCAGGGUUUCUGAACUGGGACAAUUCAGGGAUCGAUUCAGCAAUCCGAUGCCCCUACCAAACCUUUUCCAUCUUUAGCAAAGAAAAAAAAAGGGGAUAGAUAAAAAAAGAUUGGCACAUGCAUUUAACUGGUUGAUUACUGGCAAAUCUCAUGAUAAUUCGUGGACGGACGGGUAAUGAUUGCCUGCAAACACUAUAGAUGUACUAGUAGUACAGUAGAUCCGAAGCGCGGCGGCGUCAGGCGGAUCAGAUGCCCGGCGGGGGCCGCCCGAGAUGCCGGUAGCUCUCGUCGCCAGCCGUCGGAUAGAAAUUCCCUUCCCCCCGCUCCCCUGACGCGACGAGCGAAAAGGCGCCGGGCCGGCCGGAUCGGUAGCUUUUGGCGGCACAUUCCCCUGGCGCCCGGAUCAGCGAGCUGGCCACAAGGCGCAGCGCAGGGGCACCUGUUCAACGCCAGCAGCGAGAUGGCGAGAUGCCGCGCUGCGCUCAGCUGCUGCUGCCGAGCUUCAGAGCCUGCGCGUCGCUAGAUCCUAGCUUUUGUCCUCGCUUCUGCCCGCUGCGGGUGCCUUUUCCUCCGCCAGAACUGGGUAGCAAACUGGCUGGCAGGCUGGGGGCCUCGUCGUCUCUGCAGCGCGCUCAGGUAGAGCAAGCACAUGAGCACAGCGGGGGCGGCCGGGGCAGGGGCAGCGCGUGCGAGAAAAGCAGGCAAAGUUGGAUUGGGUGAAUAGAAAUACGCAAAGUACCAAAUGGCCUUUUCGUUGUUGCCCCGCCCCCGGGCCAUAAGGCAGCCCUCAUUUGCUUCGCUCGUUUCGAUCCUGGAUGGCUGGAUCAUGCUGCUGCCAGGGCGCAUUUCAUUUUUCUUCUUAGAGUUUUUCUUAUUGUCGUGGCGUAGCAGUAACUGUAAUGAAUGGUACAGUAUAUGCUUGCUUGGCUACUGCCAGGGAGGGUUACGUUACAUGCACAGGUGUGUGCCACCUCCUUUCGAAGUAAGUAACUGAUUGCACUACUAGUAUUUGGCUAUUUGCUUGCUUGGCUAGCUAGUGAAAAGACGCAUUUCAAUUCUUAUAAAAAAAGAAAGGAAAUUGUUUUUUUUCCUUCAGCAGCCAUGGACAUGUGGAUGGCCGGUAUCUAAGAUCCGUUUUGGAACGUUCCUGGUGUUCAGCGCAGUCAGUUCCUCUCGUUUUCUUGGAGCGGCUCGUCGUUGGUCGCGCGCAGCGGUCAGUUUCAUCAUGCCGAACGAAGACCACAAGCGGCCAGCCAGAAAGACUAACGACGGAAAUGUACUCGUGUCGUGUCUCCCUAACCAAUUUUGUGCACCCGAGUUAUUGCCCGAGUUCCGUGCCUACAGUAACAGUAACGCCAUCAUCGUCAUCACCAUCAGUGCUGCUGUUGCUGCUGCUUGCAUGGAACAGCGCGCGACUCAUGCUGGUUUGAACGCAUCAGACCUCUCGCCAUGGAUCACCGCACCAGCUCGUGCAAGCUCAGAUCAGAUCAGGUCUCCGUCACCUGAACAAAAUCCACACACCUCGCUGUCGCCCCCGCCGAGUUCGGGGCUCGGCUGCAUAGAUUUCUGUCAACGAAGCGCAGCGCGCCCCCUGGUCGCUCUCGUGGUCACAUCGCAUAAAUGCGUCGUCAUACCAACACGCCAAUGGCCUUGGCUCCGAUUCUCUCUUCCCAAGCAAGCUAGCCAGCCUAGUGAAGAGGAGUAGCGGGGGAGGGGACUCUGAUCCUGAUGACCUGAUAUCCUUGGACUCGUCAACGCGGGCCUGCAGGUGCGGCCAGGGGUGAGGUGGGCAUUGCCGUAGAGCCUAUGACUACUUGACCAGUGCGAGCGCAAAUAAAAUCUCCUCCUCAGACCUCAGAUCAGAUCGGAUGGGCAGCAGACCAGCAUAAUCUGUUGGAAGGGAAGUGCUGGAAAUAACAUAACAAAUUUGCAGGGCCAACCACUGGUGAUAAACUAAUCCAGAUUUGGAUGGGCACAUCAGACAUCAGGCUCUGUCUAGUUACGCAAUCAAAAGAUCAGGAGGGGAUGAACUCUCUUUCUUAACAGCGACAUCUGUUAGUGGAGGGGAAAAGAAAACAGGUGCGUGAUGCAGAGCAUGAAGUGAAGAUUUUUGACUUGAACAGAGCCGGAGGAGGACAAUGUCAGUAUACGAGAACAUAAGCACUCACUGUACUAGCAUGAUUCAAGAACAUAAGCAUCCACUGUGCUAGCAUGAUUCAAGGGUCUUUUUCUCAGUGCUACAAAGAAGCUCUUUUUAAGUUGCGCAGAUAUACAAAUGAUUGAUCGCUACAAUUCGCUACAACAAACUCCAAUUUGAGCUGCUCCAAUGUUCUCGGGGUGGCGGAAGCAGAAUGUGACAACAGUAUUGCAACCCAUGCUACACACAUAUAUAUAUCAUAUACUCCACCUCCAUCAAUGGAGGUGCAAGGAAGAAAAAUGACAGAGCAGAUUAAGCUCUGAAUCUCUAUUUUGGUGGUCCUCGCAGACGAUUUUGACUCCCACAGCAAGAUCGAGUUUUAUCAUACCGGUAUAAUCCUCAAACUUAUUCAUCUUCAGGGUGUGCCUCCUUGGGAUUGGUUAUUCAACCCUGCCUAUAUCCAUAUGGAACUCUAGUAAUGCACAAUGGUUGCAUCACUUCUUUGAGGGGCGUCGCUGCUCCGAAGCAAUGGAUGUUGCAUCACUCAAGAACAGAGCAAUUCGACCAUGGAUCCUCGGCGCAAUCGCAAGGAUUGAGAUGUUCUUCGAUGGCGAAGGCGAGAAAGUUCUCAAUUGCAGGUAGACACAAUUCUGUUGUACCCUCUAAAUAUCAUCUCUAAGGCUAACUUUAUGUCAUCAGCAACAAGAACAAUGGAAGGGGGAGAACAUGACAAACAGCAGCACUACACGAACAUCAACAGCAACAAUGGUGGGGGCGACGGGAUGCUACGAGGAAGGAACACAUGGAUCAUGGAUGGAUAUGGAUUGCUAAUUCCCAAGAAUUCUUGGACUCUAUGAGAUGUGGUUGAGCCUUGCUCGAUUUCUAUGCCGAUCUGUGGGAAGCAGCGGCGGUUGCGCAGCAGAGGGGGAACAGGAAGCGAACGAAUUUUAUGUACCCGAGGGCGGAGGCGGCCGCCCGCAGUCCGAUGCCCGUCGCCGUCGGACCCCGGCGGCCUCAAUGGUCCCCGGACGUCGGGAACAGCGUCAGCUCGCGGCGGCCGCUGCCGCCGCCGCCGCCUCGGGAUCCGAGGUCCAUCUCGUCGCCGAAGGGGGCGGGCGCCAUCAUCCCCAUCCCGGCGCCGGCGCCGACCAUGCGGUGGUGGUGCAUCCCGGGCGGGCCGACGGGCGGCGCGCCGGCGCGGCUGAAGAAGCUGUGGUCGAAGCUGGCGCCCGCGGCGCCGUAGGGGCCGAGCGGGCGGGCGGCGGGGUGUUGGAAGUGUCCGAUCUGCGGCGCGUGUUGGUGGUGGUGGUGGUGGUGCGUGGCGCCCAUGGGGGCGAAGGGCGAGUACUGGUCCGCGCCGGCGGGCGCGCGGUGGCCGGGCGGGAGGAAAGGGACGGGCCCCGUAGCGAAGAGGUGCUCGGUGGCGGCGUCGGUGCCGGAGCCCGAGGAGUGGCUUCCCCCCGCGCCCCCGCCCCCUCCGCCGCCCCCGCCGCCGCCGCCGCCGAGCCCCUGCAUGCGCUUGAGGUAGAGGCGGUACUUCUGGAGGUGGGAGGCGACGUUCUCGCGCGUGAGGCCGUCGACGCUCAUCAGCUGCAUUAUGGUCUUGGGCACAGCGUUCUUGAUGCCGAGGUGCGCGACGGCGUCGACGAAGCGCUUGUGCAGCUGCGGCGUCCAGACGAGGCGCGGCCGCUUGAGCGUCCGCGCCGGCUCGUCGCCGGCGCCGCCCCCGCCCCCGCCGCUGGAGCCCGCGGCCGACGACGCGCCGCCGCCGUUCAUGUCCGGCCCGCCCGCGCCGCCGCCGCCGCUGCCGCCGGCGCCUCCACCCCCGCCGCCGCCGCCGCCCGCGCCGCCGCCGCCGUGCGUCGGGAUGUCGAAGGCUACGGCGAGAUCGGGGGUGAUGAGCGUCUGCGAGAGCGGCAUCAGCUCGUCCGGCCGCGGCAGCUGCUCCUCGCAGCGCGCGAACCAGCUGGGCUCCUCCUCCCUCAUGGCCGCGGCUCCUCCCCUGCUCUGCUCACCUCGCAGAGCAAUUCUUGCAGCUCACUCCACUCGUCGUCGGGGCGGCGGCGGCGACAGCAGCAGCACCAGUAGACUCGACUCCACUCCAGCGGAAGGAAGGAAGCGACCGAGGAGGGAGGGAGGGAGUAGAGGAAGGAGGGGUUACUUCGAGGUGGAUCUCUCUUCUUCUAAGCUUUCCCACCCUUCUUCCUCUCUCUCUCUCUUCUUGUGUGUGUGUUUGGGCCUUUUCUCACCCCCUGCUGCUGCUACUGCUGCUGUGCCAUGAUGAUAUCCUCCCCGCCCUCUUUCUCUCUCUAUCUUUCUUUCUCUAGCUGCUGGUGCCGCAGCUCGGCUGCCGAUGAUGAGCGAGGGAGAAUCUGGCGAGUGAGUUUUGGGGGUGGUGCGCUGCGCUGGACUAGUUUAAUUAGCGGGGCUGCCCCGCCCGCCCGACCCCUAAAGCUAUUUUUGUGCCAUCUUUGGUUCCUUUGUUUGCUCGUUCGCUUGUUGUCUUCCCCUAAAGCUAAUCAUCCUCUUCUCUCUAUCCCGUGAGAGGAAGUGAAAAAAAAGGAAAUCCAAGGAACAUUUUCCUAAAACUCCGGAGCCGUAGCAAUUUCGCAGGAAGGAAACAGUUCUUGUAUGGCCUAACCAACGCGGUUAAGGUGACCCGGCCAGGAGCACGAAAAAUAUGGGAUGGAUUGCUACUAGAUUGAUUGGUCGCGGUAUAAAGCGAGAUGGGGCCUGGAGCAGCUGCUGCUGCGGGGGAGGGGGUUGGGGUGGAUUACGGCCGGGCGGAGGGUGGGAUCCAGUGGAGUGAGAUGAGAAUCAGGCGACGACGAUGAUGAUAUCUUAGCUGGAGUUUGGUUUGUCCUCAUGUGGGCAUGUCGCGGCGGAUCACACCUCCUCCUACCUUUUUUUUCUCCUCUCACUCACACCCUCCCUCUCUCUAGAAUAGAACAAACCGGGGAGGAAUCUUGUUUGUUUGGGCUGCUGCUUGCUGCUCGUGUUGGGUUGGUUGGGUUCCGUUUCGCUCGCCGUCGUGUAUCUCCGAGGUGGAUAUCGCCGCACCGAUGGAUCGUGGAUCUGGCAAGCGUGCUGCGUGUUCCGGCCAUUAAUGCGCGUACGGACGCCGGGAUUUGGUUAAGCUGAAUCUGAUGGAGCGGUACUGCUACCACUAAAAUCCACUAAAAUCCAAAUCCGAAGAGUGGAGGGAGAGAGAAAGAGACGGUCUGAUUUGCCUAACCUACCUAGCUAGCACUUGGGUGGAACAGAGGUAUUCCAUAGAAACUUUUGUAGUACACUCCAUGUCCCAAAUUACUAUUCAUUUUAGUUUUAGCUUUUUAAGAUACAUAGAUUUUAUUAUUCAUGUAAUUGUAUGCUAUGUUUAGAUACGUAGCAAAAGAUAUGUAUUUAGAAAAAUCAAAAUGAAUAAUAAUUUAGGACGAAAGGAGUACUACUAGUACAAUUAUCCUGGAAAGUAAAGUCGGGCACUGUGGUUUAAACAAUGAAUCAAGUCGUGCGUUCACCAAAAAUCAUGCAACUCGUAAGGAUCGUUUUAGAAAGAUGGCGAAAAAAAGGAGAUGCAACAGCUUUCCCUGGCUUUUGUUGUGGUAGUAAUAUGGUGUACAAGUGGAUAAAUAUGGGAAAGAAGAAGGAAAGAAGGGGAGUGAAUAAUUGAGAUAGCGAGGGAAUUCGGUUGCCUUUUUUGUUUGCAUGGCAUUUAUGCUUUUGGGAAACGGGUUCUCUGCUUUCGUUGGACUCCUAUUAAUGCCGGUGAUGACGUGCUUGCGGUCACUGGUUGAGUAUCAACAAAAUAGGAAGAAUUAAGUAUCCGUUGGAGGACCAGAUCGGUGCUGGCACAAUUAACACAUCGUGGUGUUAUCGCAUUACUAAGGUUAAGAGAAGGAUUAGUUUUAAAGAUUUAAUGUUCCUCGCUAAAAAAAAGGUUUUCAAGAUUUAGUGAGGGAUAUGAGUUUGGUUCGAUACUAAUUCGGGAGAAGCCUCGACCGCUUCAUUUAUGAAAUGAGGCACCAAUAAAAUGUUUGUUAAACGAUCAUGAAGAAUAAAAAGUUAUAGUCGUACAUGUUGCAUAUAUAGACACCUAAGACAUCCGUGAAAUUCUGGAUCAGCGAUCUAGUCGUUGGAGUGUCAAUGGCAUGGAAUCCUAUAGUGAUAUGACACGGUUGUGACGGCGCCUCUUGAAGUGAGAUAGAUGGAGUGUACGUGCUGGUAAUUAGAACAUAUCCAAGAUGCUAUAAGCAUUAAGUAGUGUAUAUUGAGGUAGGAAAAAGCAGUGUAUAACGGGUUUACUAUAUGUGGAUUCAUGGAAAUUCAAGAUACAUGACAGGGGAUGGUAUCGAAGCAAUAAUGGUGCCAUAAAAACACAAAAAAUAUGAGCAAGGCAAGUGAUAGAUUGAUCCAACAAUGGAGUGUUGGAAUGAAGAGCAACCGGAAGAAGUUAACAACAGGUACAAGCAACAUGGUUUAAAUAGAUUGAAGAUGGGGAUGUUGAUUCUAAAGCAGGGGAAGCGACACCGCCAUUGCAUAUUGGGUAGGUGUAGGAUGUCAACUUUACGAAAAAGCUAUAUUACACUUGAGUAUUUUUUUCAUUUUCUCACCUAAAUUUUCCACCUCCUCACCUCGUAACUCUUUAUAUAUUUUGUGAAAUCUAUCCUUGUCUCCUCUCUUAUUGUCUCCUUUAUUCCCUUUGAGAUCCAACAUGUCUUCUCUAUCUUCAAUUCAAUGGCAAAUUUUGGUCUUUUAGGAUUAUAGAGUUAGGGGUUUUCGAGGAUUUAGAUACAGGACCUGGGAAAAGUUAGCCCAAUGAGGUGGGCUUAGGUGGGAGUGCGGGACCCAGUUGCCACGAUGGACGGAGCAUGGUCGGCGUGUGAGGUUAGGGUGAGGUCAUGAAAACAAGAGUGUCUAGCAGAACGGUUGGCUUCUGUCGCGGAUCGAGCAUCAAGAGCUAUCCUACAUAAAUCUAGGGACCCAACAAAAGGUUUGGACAAUCCUAAAUAUAGGGCUGGACACCGAGACACAUCUGACAUGGAGACUAUGGUGCAGGACGGCAUAGUCUACAUGGAGAGACAGAAACUAGUUGAGGAUUAGAAAAGUACUCGUAGAAAUAAGAGUAGAACUGGUCUAGUCGAAUCCGACUAGUAUUCUUAUAACCAACCGACCUGUAACCCUGCCCUUGGCAAUAUAAGGCGAGGUAGGGACCCCCUCCAAAGCAAUUCAAUCCAACCAACACACAAGACGUAGGGUAUUACGCUAUUUAGCAGCCCGAACCUGUCUAAAUCAUGUGUCUGCAUUUAUCUUCGAGUUCCUGAUCUCGACAAGCCCCACUAACCAAAACACUACUUUGGGUACCCCCUUGGUAAGUUGCCGGGUUUAAACACCGAUAGCUGGCGCGUCAGGUAGGGGCUCUCGCCGAGAAUCCACUGGCGAACUCGAUGGCACAAGUCAUCACCAAGCCAAUCUUCGCGUUUGAAGCAGGCGUGAUGUUCGUCUUCGGCUCCUUGGUUUGCAUCGCAGACGGUGCUGGAAAUUUUUGUCGCCACAUUGCGUCAGCCCCGGAGAAGAAGAAGCAAACCAUGAAGCUCCAACGCUAAGCUUUGGAGGAUCUCGUCGAGAAUUUCGUCGAAUGUUCAAAUUCUAACCUAGUCAGAGGCUGGGGGAUGAGUUCGAGUACGACUCGACUUCUUCCGCCGGUCGGAUUGACCUACAUGAGCCAGUGCAUAAGCCAUCGUGCAAGUCGGAUUACCGCCAGAGUCGAUUCCCGUUCGGACUCCACAACACGACCACUAGUUAUCACGCUGCCCUAUCCAGAUCACAAUCUGAAACGGAUACGAUCGAGGACUUCAAUUACUGCUCGGACCCGGAUGAGGAAACUUCUUUGUUAGGUCCGCAGUAGGAUCUGGUAAUCACAUCAACUCCUCAAGGCAGAUUCAUCUACUGGCCCAACAUGAAGCCACCCGUUCUUGCCAAAAAUGACGAUUCACGCCUCAUUACUUACCUUGACACUCUCCCGUACCAAGAGGGAACUCCUCUGUCGCCCAUCUACGAGGAAGGCAACACCACGAAUGUCAUCACCUCAAGCUCGGGAAGCUAUUCCCCAGAACGAGAACUCUUUGAUCUCAUUACUGGAUAAGAGGAUGAAAACGAAGAGCAACGGGAUAGAAACUCGCAACAUGAGCGUCACCCAGAUGACGUCUCGUAGGAUGAGCUCACCGCCAACAUUGUCGGAGAAGAGACUGAAGCUCAAAGAACUCAAUGACGAGCAAGGAACGCCACAAGAGCAGAACGUCGCCGCCUUGCAGCAGACCUACCAAUCAUGAACUUGGAUAACACCUUUGAAGCAAUUCAAACGCUUCGCCAUCGUACUUCCCUUGCCACCAUCGCGUCUAUUGUCUCAUCACCCGCGCGAUGCCGCAGAAUAAGUACACUAGGCAGUUGGCUGAACUAGCAGAAUGCGCGUACAAACAAUUCGAUUAGCAAAAUCCAAUACAGUCAGUCCAAUGCACCGCAUCCCAACGAACUCUUUGUUCUAUGGGAUAGUCCCGGGCAACACGGUUGUACCCCUCGGAUAGGUGGUUUUGCCAGUUACCUUUGGAACCAAAUAACACUAUCGGACAAGAUGUAUCCGGCUCGAGGUAGCGGAUUUCAAAACAUCAUACCACGCCAUCCUCGGAAGACUAGCAUUAGCCAAAUUCAUGGCCAUCCUGCACUACGUGUACUUAGUACUCAAGAUGCCAGGACCCAAGGAGGUACUCUCCCUGUGCGGAGACUUGAAGAAGUCGUAUGACUGCGACACAUAAGCCGUGGAGCUAGCAGCAACUACCCAAGUACCGAACUCAAUGAUGCAAGUCUUCGCCGCAUCCAAUAAACUGUCCCCAUUAGAACUCGAGAUUCCAGAAAAAAGUCGAGGGCAACCAAGGUCAAGCCGGCAAGUGAAAUAGACAUCAAAGCCAUUGACCUUGAAACUGAUGAUAGCUCCAAAACAGCCCUGAUUGGCACAGAGUUAGAUCCUAAAUAGGAAAGCGCGCUCGUUAGCUUCCUCCGGGCCAAUUGAGACAUCUUCGCGUGGAAACCAGCGUACACGCCGAGGGUGCCCAGGAAGUUGAUCGAGCACUCACUCAGCAUGAAUCCAAAAGCUACACCAAAAAGACAACGCCUACGAUGAUUCACCCAAGACAGAAGGGACCAUCAAGAAAGAGCUGGCCAAACUACUCACGGCGGGCUUCAUAAAAGAAGUCUAUCAUCCAGAGUGGCUCACCAAUCCCGUCCUGGUGCGAAAGAAAAAUAACAAUGAGUGGAGGAUGUGUGUCGACUACACAGCCCUCAACAAGCACUAUCCAAAGGAUCCCUUCAGGCUCCCUAGGAUCGAUCAAGUCAUCGAAUCCACAGCUAGAUGCAUCCUCCUCUGUUUCCUCGACUGCUACUCAGGUACCACCAGAUAGCUCUCAAGGAAGAAGACCAUAUCAAAACCGCAUUCAUAACCCCAUACGGAGCUUUUUGCUACACAACAGGUUGAAGAACACAUGCGCCACUUAUCAACGGGCAAUCCAAGUGUGCUUCAAGAAGUAGCUACACCGCAAUGUGGAGGCGUACGUGGACAACGUGGCCGUAAAAAUCAGAAAUCCCGAUGACCUGAUUGCGGAUCUAGGAGAAACCAGAAAUCCCGACGACCUCAUUGUAAGAGAUGAUAGUAGGGGUGUGGGGCAAGCAAAUAUGCAUCAGCUGGGUAAUGGAGUUGAGGGAAGAAGGCUAGAGGAUAUAGGAUGAAGAUGAGUCGUUGAUAAGAGAUAAACGCUUCGAAUUUCAAGUGUUGUACGUGACUAAGGUCCCGUUUGUUUGAGAUUAUAAUCCACCUAGAUUAUAUAAGUUGGAUUAUGGGUCAUGGGUACUAUGAUAAAAGAUUACUUUGGAACCACUUGGGACCACAAAUAAUCUAAAAUAAGCUAGCUAUGGGUAGCUUAUUUCAGAUUAUUUGUGGUCCUGGAGAUGGGUAGCUUAUUUCAGAUUAUUUGUGGUCCUGGAGUGGUCCUAUAAUGAUUUUUUACCUUACUAUCCUUGAACCAUAAUCCAGCUUAUAUAUUCCAUGAGGGAAAUAAAUAGGCCCUAAAGUGCUUGAGUAAGUUGUUGACGGACUCUAAAUCCCAAGUGCUUGAGUAAGUUGUUGACGGACUCUAAAUCCAAGGGGCUUUUGUACGUUAUCGAAAUGUGCUAAAAGAUUGUCAAAAUUGUAAAUACGGAAUUGGUUCAUCAUGUGCCAAAAGUACCUAUGGACUAAUUUUUGUUACAUUGAAGUUACCACACAAUACAAUUAGCAGUACCUCAACCCAUAACAUUUAACGUUGGUUAUUGAACUAAUUAAUCAAUGUCAAAUAAAAUGGAAUGAAGGUAGUAGCACUUUAAAUAUGUUAAAUAUGAGACAAAAUGGUUGUUGCUAUACCUGUGGACUAUUAUACCUUUUGAGUUAUCUGAAUAUCCAUCCAGCAGUGAAGAUCUUUUGCAUUUUUAAUAUGAAAGGAGUCCGUCUGGUUUUCAUGUCGUGCAUCGCCUAUAGCUUUCUCGCCGAACCCUGCAACAGAUGCUCAUAAUUCCCUCGAAAAAACGGACGUAGAUAAUUCACAAACACGGGAAUGAUGACAUAUGGCGUCCGUGACCCUGUGCUCCCAAGUAGGCAAGUACACUACCACAAGCACACAGUUGAGACGUCACCCGCCGAGAUCAUCCUCCGAAUACGUGCUCCGCCAAAUCUCAGCUCGUUCUUUCUUCAAUUCUUCCUGGGAGUAGUACCACGGCACGGUAGCCCAUAGAAUAUCCAGGCCACACCUUUUCCUAGUCCCCGUAGUAGGCGCAAAGCCCCUCCCCCUUUUUUCCCCAGCCCUACGCCACUCCUUUUCACAAAAACGUUGGCCCUGGUGUAAAAAGAUGGCCGUCCGGCCGGCCGGCCGGCAGGCAUGCUCUCGCGCGCGGAAAAGGAAGAGGGCGCAGGCGCGCAGCAACCAAAUCAGCUCCCAAUCAUCUCGCGCCUCGCCUGCUGGGGGAACCGAAAACAUGGUGUGGAUUCGAAGGCUAAAUCCCUUGAUCCUUGUCCUUGGGGGCCGAGAGAUCGCCGUGGAAAAAAGCCGGGGGGAACGGGGCCGGGCGUGUGAUCUCGCCUGAUCGGAUCAACGGCGUUUGCGUGUGCUUGUGCUGCCCAGUUCACGCUCCACUCUUGUGCACUUGUGCUAGCUAGUCGCCGGGUGCCCUACCGAUCCAUCACCGAAAGCGGAGCACGCGUUAGGACCCCAAGUACAAAGCACGCGAACGCUAAUGCCGCACACCCAGUGACCUCAGAUUGGCUUUUCUUGCUACGUGAAAAGGACUGCAUGUACUAGCAUGUAGGAGUAUGCCGAUGCCAUGCGCAUUGGUCACCAGCUUGUGGGUCUAGGAUGGUUUUGUUCCCUUUUGGGCUCCUUUAAGGCACUCCCUUGAUCUUAUCUUGAAAGGUAAGAGGUCUAAAUAGAUCCUACACAUUGAUUAACAAUAUUUGCAAUUUCCAUCUAUAUGAGCACUAGCAGCUAAAAAGAAAGUAGCAAUGCACAUAGUUAACCUUCCGGAAUAAUGUGUGCAUUGCAUGCAGCCAAGGAAAUCAAGGGGGUCACUUACCAAAGAGAUGGAUGAUACUCCCUCCUUUUGAAAUUAUAAAUUAAAGUUUAUUUCUAGAGUAGAAGACGACUUUGAUCAAUGAUUUUUCCAUUAAUAAAUAAUUUUCUGAUACAAAGUUUAUGUAAUUAGAUUUACAUCUAAAAAUACUUUCUUACGAGUAUAUUUUUAUCACAUAAAUAAAAUAAUGAUAGAGUAAUUGUCGGUCAAAGUCUUUGCCAUAUCGAAAUGAAUUACGCUUGUAAAAAAACUAGGAAGUUUACUAGGAAGUUUUUUUUGAAUUGGAAGAUCAAUCGAUUCGUAUCUAGACUUUAUAUACAAAACAUAAAUAUGGAGCGUAUGGAGCAUGGACGGAAGCGAACAGACCCAAUCUGCACGAAAGACCGUACGUGUAGCAUUGCUUAUCCGUUCCGUAUGAAUGUCUGAUCUAGGACAAUAGUGGCACCAAUUAUAUGUUUCCGAAUGAAGCUGUGCUAUCUCAUCCUCACCAUCGAACGAAGAUGUCCUCACCGGAAUAAGUGAAUGGACGGAAGGACGGACACGACCGCCAUUGGAAUGUUGCUGCUUCCGCAAGUGGCAUGGCGUUUGAGCUUUCUCAGGAAGUCGGGAGCCACUUGAACACCUGAUGGGUCGACGACGACGGGGACGUCGAGGGACACGUGGACGACCCGCAGGCGCCGGGGCUCGGAUAAGAGUGCCGGAUGAUGGAGAGCAUUAGCUAGCGGUCUAGCACUGGGCACUGGCCCGGACAGCAAGAUGACGACGCCUCAGCGUCUUGUGCGUGGGACCCGCCUGUCAAUCUCUGCCCUGUUCGUUUCUGGAUAUCAGCAACGGCUGCAUUUUCGGUGACCCCCCGGGAAUCUCAUAGUUGCGUGUAUCGUUCUGUCAAUCACAACUUCGAUAAAGAGAGAGAGGUUGAGCUAAUCGUAUAGAGUAGAAUAGUGAAUUCCAUUUAGGAAAAGACACAACGAAUUUUCAGCGAAGAAAAGAGCUAGCAGAGUCAAAGCGAUCCAAUAUGUUCCGGAUUCAAAGCUAGAGUGUCAAAAUCCUAGAGAAUUAGUAUAAGAGCCUUAAGUUUCAGCAAUGAUUGUCGAAUUAACAAUCUUUUCUCCCCCACAUAUGUAGCACAUCAUGGCCUAAAAACAAUUUCGGUCUACGGCGAAUCUCUAUCGCCUUGGAUUAAACAAUCCAUGACGAUGCUAGUCCUUCUUCCUCUCGUAUCCCAAACUAAAUUUUUAAAACCACAGGUCAUUGUUCCUUUUAUUCCUUUUUCUAUCACCAAAGUCAUUGAUCCUUCGUUCCUCCUUAUCAUUUCCACCUAAUGAACUAGUAUAAUUUUAGGCACACAUCAACCAAGAUUUGCUAUUUCUAAAACCCUGCAGGUACGGCGGUGUUCAUGUUCGGAAAUGCGAUGGUAGAUCGAUGAACAAAUGAUAUGGCAUGACAUAUAGCUUGGCUUUGGCACUAGCAAUAAACAAGCUGGGAGCUGGAAGAUUUGGAGGUAUCAACUGGGCUGGAGAUUGCAUAGUGACAGCGAUUUUUGUCCGGGGAUAGCGACCUUCAGAUUCUUUCCAUUUUAUUCGCUGAGAAGGACAGGACGGUUUGACACCACAGACUUGUUCGUUUGGCUGCUCGUACAAGGUAUUGAUGUGGCACAACUAAAUCCUCUAACCCUCUCCAAACCUCUGAUCAGUUCUGCUGUCUGAACAUGGUUGCAGUUAAAGAACUUUCAGACUGGACAUGCUAAUUCAGGCUGAUUCCUGCUUUGUUCGAAUUGAAUUGUCAAAACUAAAAGCAAGCGUGGUAGUUUAUAAUUUUCUGGUCCAGCUUUUAGCAGUGGCUAACCUUGGAUUCUUGCCAUUUGAUGGAGGGCCCAGAUCAGAGACAGUAGCACUAGUUAGUAGUCAGUAGAUGCCUGUAUAAAAAUUAAAAUUCUGUCUGCAUGCUCUCUGAUAGUAAGUAAUUGGUGGGCACAGCAUCUGGAGAUUCGUCUAGAGAAUCCAACUCGCAAAAAGCUUUGGCAAAAUUCCCCGGAGUUAGGCCCAAAGUUUCACUUUCACGCACAAUCGAGCCUAGGUCCAGUCAAAGUAAACUGCAGCUUUCACUUGAGUUCUUGCAGCGAAUAAACAAGUGCAGACAUGCUUGCUUUGCGACGUGAAAAAGUGACAUUCCCUUGGUAACCCCUUGUAGUUUAAUCCAAAGGCUGGUGGCAUCACUCAGCUCUCAUCUCUCUAGAUGAGAACAGGAUAAAAAGUUGACUGGAAGCUAAGCAUUGCCUAGCCAUCAGGUUAAGCUAGCCACGCUCAGCCUGCGUGUUUGGCUGGCCUUUGUUUAAUAUUACUGCUGGUCACCAUCGUCGCAAGCGGCUGAAAGCGCUUUCAUGGACUGGGGGACAGGCGUGCUUCGCUGAUGCUCAGUUUCCUCACACUUCCAAACAGUGGUGGUUAGGAUCGAGUAAUAGUGAACAGUGACAGCUGACAGAAUUUAGUGCCCAAUUAAAGUCGUCAUCUUCAGUUUCAAUUUUGGUAUUCCUGGCACCGAUUCCAUGCUAUCAUCACUUACAGGAUAAACGUAAGGGUAAAACUCAGAAUACUAAAUCUACUGCUGUGAAUUCAGGAUACCUGCGUUUCUGGAAGAAAAUUUUCAGGAUAUCUGAACCACAAAGGUAGAUUGAGGCUAUGUAAAUCUUCAGAGAUUGAGGCACUUUCUGUAGAGAGGUGGCCAAAUCUGUGAAUUGUGAUGUAGCACAUAGAUGGAACUGGGACCCCAGAUGUUCAUUAGCCAAAGGACUAGCUAGUUGACAUUUGACAACUGACAAGAUUGGGGAUGUUUUCUGAGAAUUGUCUUCUUCUAGAAUAAAAGGAAAAUGAGGCAGAAAAUCUUCAGGUCAGUCUUAUCCCAUGACAGCAUCACCUUUGUACGCUUGCUGUUGAGACAUGUCCAUAACUUGAUAUAUUCUAGAAAAAAAAGGUUACCAACAUGCCAAUCUCCAUUUUUUAUCUACAUAUAAUGAAAAGUUUUUUCAUGGAACUAGAGACAGUAAACUGAAGAAGCCCUUGUGAUUCAUAAAAGCCCUGCAAGUCCUUUGUGAUUCAUAAAAGCCCUGCAGGUCCUUUUGGUAGCUCAACUGAAGAAGAUGAUUCGCAAAAGGGCAACAGUAAACUAUUUUAGAACAGAUAGAUGCUCGAUGUCGUUGCAGCACAAGCCCAUACAAGAUGCCAGUAAAAUUCACUAGUCCAGUCCAGCUGCAGCACUCAGUCAGAAACCAGAUGGCCUGAUUCCUAGUUAUGAUGUGAACUAUAUUUUACAGCUCCAUCAGUUGUGGUUUAUAAUAGUAGGAAUCUAUUGGUGUCAGGGAAGAAACUUUCCAAGUGCGUAGCGUCAGACGCACAUCUGAUCCGGUUGCUGCUGCCCUGCUUAGUGGCGUACUGCUGUACUGUUCGUUGUAAGGUCAUGCUCUCACUGUCGGUUCAGGCUAUAAAUAUUGCCCUAGAUGUCGUCGAGACGCCAUAUUGUGUGGUGUCAAUGCUAAAAAAUACCCGAGCACCAUGCCAUGCGUCCCCUGUGCCCUCCAUUGGCAUGGCAGGUAAGCCACCUACCGAUCAGAAGGGCUAAUUGCAGCCAUGCUGCCAUCUCUAACUCAGCUGAUAAACCAAAUCUCCAAGAAAAGAAAAAUUCCAUGAGUGUUCUUGUGUCCUGCACCAGCAGGAAGCUUCACAGGAUCUGACGACGGGCAUCACCCACCGGCCACCAGCACCACCACACCAAGAUCCUACAGAUCACUGGAGUAUAUCUGCAAGCAGAGACAAUAGAUGCUUCUUGCUGGGGAGUACAGCUACCAGGAUAUCUCUUUCUAGAUAAUGAACUGCCAGAAGAUGCUGGCGUUAGAUAUCUUAUUGUCCCCAGCAUAUGCCUGCCCAGCCGCUCCUCCUCCAUGAACUGGAUAAUAAACUGUUCAGAGCUCAGCGAGGAGGGAUCAGCCAGCCUCCCAUCGAGAUCGAUCUCACUCGCUCGCGCACCCGGCAACCGCGCCGCCAUUAGUUUAUGCGCCACCUAUCCACGAGACGACGGGAUAAGAUAUGAUAGUGUAUUGCCCAAUCAUGGCCGCCUCGAUCGCCAUUGGCGCGGCCGGGAGAAUCUGAUUGCGUUUUUUUAUAGUGCGCGCCACUUGGUGGUGGCACUGAGCUCAUGCUCAUGCCCCCUAAUGGGAGAAGUGGUUACUCUAAUCUUAAUCUAAUCCGGGGAUAUGGGCUAAACAUAUAUGUAUCGCGAGGAGGAUAAAGAAUGUGGCGGGCACAUUGUCUGUGGCAUGUUUGAUCGCAGGUACAGCGGAUUUGGAGGCAACAGGAAUCUACCAGUAAUUUAAGCUGGGUUCGGUUUGGAUCUUGGAACCAUGAAUAAGGGUAGUAAUAUAGACAGAGAAGAGGGGCACACAUGUCUUUUCACGGCCAUUGUAAAACUCAUACAGAGCUAGAAUGAGAUAUAUGCGACUAGGUAGUAUUUUAUUUUCUAUAAAAAAAACAUGUCUUUUGUCACUGCUAAACAAUAUUUUUCUAAUUAAAUUGCGUUUAGGCUUCAACGGCAUGAACUAAAUAGAAUUGUGAAUGAGUGGCAUGAUCCUAAAUAUUACUCCCCCGCACUAAAUAUAGGUUGUUUUACCUUUUCUACACACAUAGUGUUUACUACAUAGCAAAAGUUAUGAUCCUAGUACAGUCAAAACGACCUACAAUUUAAAAUGGAUGUAAUAUAUUUGUUUAACUUGGACAAUCAAUAGUUAAAAAUAUGAUUGGUUUGGCAAUCUUGACGCUAUUAGAUUUUAUCAUGAAAAGUAAUCUCGCAAUAGAUAUAUUUUUAUAUUUAAAAACAAAUACAUUCUUUUAGAAAUUGGUAAUCAAUGGUGUACCGUGUUGAUAUCGUAUAUAUAGGCUACUUAUAUAUUGAUGAAGAAAAAGUGGCAAAUGUAGAAACGAUUAGUGAACAUGUUCAAAAAUCUUUGGCGUGUCGAGCGAUGCACAGAAGCGAGAGAUCCAAGAUGUUUUUGCGUUGCGUGCUGGACAUGCGCGAGUGCGCCCAACUGGCCCAGGACUGGGUGGGCGGGUGGGCUGUGACCUCUGAACUAGGGGCCAUUACUCGGAGGGCCAAAUUGCCAAUCUACCAGUUCGGCGUUCGUUUUUUCUCUUGAACAAAAAAUCGCACAUUUCCUAGCACUCUGUACUCCUGUCAUAUUUCGUCCUCGGCAAACGUCCAUGGUAAAUCUAUCUUCUGACAGCGGAAGUUCUUUCUAUUAUCGACCGACCAGUUUAUGGCUGAUAGUGGAACUACGGCAAAGAUCGAUUGCAACAGAUAGGGUGAAUUCAUUCGUUCCAGUGUCCUCGCAAAGAUUUUCCUAGCACAACUAAUCUUCUAGAAUUCAAGGUUAAGAACCAAAUGAUCCAAGACCGAGCGGCAUUCCGAUAAUUGGCUGCUAAAUAGUGGAUACCAACUAGGAAUGCAAUUUCCAUUUGUUUUGGAUCAUGAGAUCAACUCAAUCAAAUUAGGUCCUGUUUGGAUACACAAUGCUAAACUUUAGCACAGUGCUAAACUUUAGCACCCACCCUCAAAUGAAGUGCUAAAGUUUAGCACUUGAGGUUAUUUGGAUACAGUGCUAAAGUUUAGUACAUUAGGUGAGAAAUGACUACAUUACCCUCAUUUAUGAUUGGCUUGGGGAAAAGUGGAGAGGAGAGAGAGGGCAGCAGGGGAAAAAAUGAGCUUGGGACCAAUUUUAGCACCCAUUAGCACCUUUUAGCACCCCUUGUUUGGGAGCCCAAGUGCUAAAAGUGGGGUGGUGCUAAAAGUGGGGUGCUAAAGUUUAGCACCCCUCCAAACAGGGCUUUAACUAAACAUUCCACAAUUUGUUUUGGGAGAGAAAUAUACUAAAGUAGCUAACCCAAUAAACGCCAUUGACUGGCUAACAUCCCUAGUACCAACUAUUUAGCGUCCCGGAUUUACGUAAAGACUGAUUCCAACCUAAAACUUUUAUUGGUCUACCAUGUUCUCUAUGAACUAGUACUACUAAUAACGAUCAACCCAAGUAACUGGCAGCGGCAAGAAGCCUCGAGCCACCACCAGGCAGUUCACGGUUAUGCACCCAGGACCAAGAACUGUUCCAGUUCUACCCUAAACCGAAAUUAAGGGCAGACGAGCACUAGACAAGGACCAUCAGUUCCAGACUAGUUCACAAUAAUAGUUUCAUCGAAUUAGGACUCCUUAUACAAACUACGUUCGACACUACACGAAGUUUUGUAAUAGAAAUGGCUCAAAUCUGAAGACUCCACUUAACAACACGACAUAGUGCAAGUUCAACA